rnacentral:lncRNA from 1 species
GUGGUGGCUUCUCUCCCUUAGGUGGUUUGCCAACUGGGGUUGGUGGCUUGUAUGAGUCUUCAGCAUUCUCAGCAGGAGGGUGACCAGGGUUGUGACCAUAAUGUGGUGGCUUCUCUCCCUUAGGUGGUUUGCCAACUGGGGUUGGUGGCUUGUGUUCUGGGAGUGGCUUCUCCCCCUUGGGAGGUUUUUCCAAUGGGGUUGGUUUGUGUUCAGGAGGUGGCUUCUCCACUGGAGGCUUGUGUUCAGGAGGUGGCUUCUCCACCGGAGGCUUGUGUUCAGGUGGUGGCUUCUCCACCGGAGGCUUAUGCUCUGGUGGUGGCUUCUCGAAUGGGGGAUGCUUAGGAUAAUCAGCAAGUGAGGGGGCGGUGAGAACCACCAGGCCAAGCAACACCACUAGCAAAUAUGUAGGAGACAUCUUUGGGUUUGGGCUCAGAUGGUGCAAAACUAGGAGAAUUGGCUAGCCUUUUAUAGCGGAUCGUACCCAAUAAUGAAAUGACACGUGUCAUUAUGACCCAUGUGUAAUGGGGUCGAUUUGGGUCCUACAGUGUUGAAAACUUCGACAUCCACUUUUGGCCUUUUGCUUUCUCUACAGCCGCCUUGCUUUUUCCCUCUUUCCUUUUGUUUUCCUCCUGCCCCAUUCUAUCAACUAAACACAAUUAUGUAGUUGUUUAAUUCUUAAAUGAGAUAUUAUCCGUCAAUCGUAUUAUAUUUUAUCAAGAGAGAACGGAGUGCAAUGUGGCUGUAAUUUUAUCGUUUAGUUUUAUCUCUUGGACCACUGCAUUUUUGUUAAGAGGUGCAAUAAUACACGUCUUUAUCUGCCAUUCAAUAUUUACAGUAAAGAGAGGGCACAAAACUCUUCACUUCGCACCAUAAUUAUUUUGUUUUCUGGACACCCCGGGGCCCUUUGGUUGGUUUGGGGGUCAGAAAGUGAACAUCAUAGGGGGUUUUUCCCUUAUGUGCAUUUGUAUCUGAUGGCUUUAACUCGCCUUGUUACUACAAAGAAACUGUCACAGAUAGGAACUUAUUCCAGGCUGAGUAUCUCCUCAUAGACCCUAUAAAAGAAGACAAGUCAUAAUGAACAUCUAACCUUUGUUCAAUUUGAUUCAAUGCCCCCAUUGUGUCCAUCUCACAAAUCUGAAUUAUUAUAUCCAUUGAAUACAUAAAUUAAUGAAGAAAAUAUGAAACCCAAGAUACAUCUCUGCACAACCUCAACCCUGGUUGCUAUGUUUCCCUUCUAUUCACAUGAUUUGAUGCUAAUUGCCAAACUUGCAACAAGCCCUGAGUUUGACACCUAGUAUCGAUGGGCGAAUUUAAAGUCUCCUCCAAACAUAUAUUCCACAGCUUGAAGCUCACAGAAGAUGUUACAGGCAGGGAAAAACCUUCAGAGUUCGCUACCAAAGAUAAUUAUUAAGGAGAUAUCACAAAGAGAAUUCCAAGGGGUCUGAAUCAAAGACAAAUUGGUCGUUCGUGGGGGUUCUUACUUUCUUUUGGGUAUAACUCACUGAGGGCACUGUCUUUGUUAUUUGCAUUUCACAUUUAGAGUUCUGUUCUGGAAACAUAUAAAAGGAGCAUCAUUUUGUUCUUGGGUAACCCAUAGUCGUGAGUGGGUCCAUUUGCAUGCUACUUAGUUGAAAAGUUGGACCAUUUGCUCCGACGCCUACCUCCCGGAUUCCAUGCUCGGAUAAAACAAGAAUAAAAAAAAUAUUUAUAAUUUACAAAUGGGGGAAAGAAAAAAAUGUCAACAACAAACCAGGAAAAAAGAGUAGUAAAAUUCAUGUCACAUGCUAGUGAGAGAAGGGGUUGUUACACUCACUCGAAGUUCUUUCCAAAAUAUCGCAUGGUAUUUUAUUUUAUGUGUCAGCGCAGUUGUGAAUGGAACGUGCAAAAGUCCAAAUUGGCGUUUUUCCUUUUCCCGUGUAGGAUGGCGACCUUUAAUAAAUAUUUAAAACAAAAAACGAAAAAAAGGAGGGAAAAGGGAUCAGAAAAGAUAAAACAAUGUGUACAAGAGCUCAAUUAGUUUGCAAAUUACUGUUUGGAUUUUGAUAGUAUUUUAUUUGUCCAUCUAUAUUUGAUGGAAAAGAGAAUUUAAGAUAUUUCUGAAACAAAAGCAUUAGUGUAAAACUAAAUUAAGGUAUAAUUAAGUUAGUUCAAUGCAUUAAUUUAAGAAACUUGAUCUAUCCAAAGUACAAAAUUAGAUGAAAUCCAUUUCAAUGGUUAAAAUGAUCAAAAUCAAACUUUUUCUAAGUAUUUUUUAAAAGCAUCAAUAUUAAAAGACAAUUUUAUAUUUAGUCGGAGUUUGGACAAAACCAAAAAGCACACAAAAUCCAAGCGACCAUCUCUAGCUUGGAUAGUCACUUGAUCCCACCUAGAGAUGUGCAUGAGUAAAAGGAUUUGAAAAUGGAAAUUGACUAAAUAUUUAGUUGAUCAAUUAAAUUUGCAAUGUCAUAUGCAAUCCUAAUAGCUAGUCAUCUAAUCAAUUAGGUAGUCAAUCAAGUGUUUGUAAUGACUAUUUUGUACAAAAAACCACAUGUAUAGUUAAAUAUAAUGCAUUUCAUUUAUAAAUCUUCUAAUUCUUGAAUAACGAUCCUAUCAUCCUUUGAAAAUUUUUAUUACACCUUUUUUACUUUUGUUCUAAAACUUACAUAUCACCCUUAAUUGUACCAUGAGAACCUAGCUAUUUUUUUUUUUUUUGUAAUUCAUCAAAGUUAGCUUUUGUAUUCAUUGUUGUAUUAUUUUUAGUAUAACUUAGAAAGCUAGUGUUUUCAAGUGAGUAAAAUUAACUUGUAAAUAUUGUAAAGAUUCAUUGAUAUGUAUCUUAAACUAAGUGUACAAAUUAAAACAUUUGCUAGUAGAUUUUCUCAAAAUUUAGAAUAGAGCUUGAGGCUAUUGAAAUAGGUGGGGUUACACCAAACCACAUCACAUCGUUGUUUGCACCUUUUUUCACUCUCUUUUACUUAGUUUCUCUAUAUUUGUUGUCUAGUAAUAUCCUAUAGGCUUGAUGGGUUAGGGAGCAUCCCUUUGUGAAAAAAUUUCAUUCAAUUCUUAGUUGUAUUACGCAUAUAUAAAAUGCCUCAUUGUUUUAAUGGUAUUCAGUCGUGGCAUCACAGAUAUGGGCAUCUAAAUUUUAAAAGUUUGAAACUUUUGUAAAGCAUGUUGAUAAAAUCCAUGAGAGUUGUGUACUUGGGAAGCAACAUCGAGGUGACUUUAUUUUUUUUUCCUUUUAUAAUGCCACACCUAAGUCCGGUUUCUAAAUGCUAAAGUGAAAGGGUAGGUAUGGACCAUUGAAAUGUGAUCACAACUUUUGGCCUUUUCCUUUCUCUGCAGCCAUGUUGUCUCUUUUUUCUUUUGCAUGAUUUUCUUACCAAAACAGAAUCAUAGACUUGUUUAGUCUCUAAGCUACUAUAUUAUAUCUCGGUGGACUUUUAAGAGUGCAACCGACAUAGAGCACAUGCAAGUGGGCAUAUGGGACAUGAAAUUUCUUCUUACAAAGAUUGCAUGAUUUUUAUAUUAGAGUUGUUCACGUGCAAUGUAUUUAGCUUGUUUUGCAGUUAAAUUAAUUGGAUAAGUAAACAUUGGCAUUUCUAAAUCGACUGUGAAGUGCUUCAUGUACGUGUAAAGUAUUAGAAAUUUCUUUCUUGGCAACUUGUUUUUUCCUUGCCAUCUACUGGUAGGUUUGACUAAAAUUAUAUUCCCUGUCAUGCUAAUUAAUUUUCAUGUGCAUGCUCAAAAGAAGAGUAUGACCUUAGUGCACCAAAAUCACUUUGAUUAAUUUGUGAUAGGUUUUUUUGCAUCAUUUAGAUAAUGUUUAGUUCUAAGAAAAAUUUAUAUAAAAAUGGUUUAUUUAUCUUACAUAUAUAUAUAUAUAUAUAUAUUUUUUUUUUUUUCAUUUUUUUUUCUUCUAUUUUAUUUAUUUAUUUUAUUUUCCUUAUGUUUUCCUCACAUUUUCCGGAACUAAACAUAGUCUUACGAAAUCAACAAUUGCCUUCAACUGAGUAGAUUCUGUUGUUUUAGCAAUGUUAGGCUGCUAACUUGUGGUGGUACGAACCAAAUGACCCAUGUUAAUCUUGGCUUGGUUUGAUUUGGCUCUAUCUCAGAGAGCUAAAGGAUCACGUCAACUCUGGUUUCUACUAUUCAGGUCCAUUCCCAGAUGAACUGGUUCAAAUUUGAGAAAAUGGUAACAGACCUUUAGUGAUGUUGGUUUGGAGCCAGUUGCCAAACCCGCCCUGAGCUUUACCACUAAUGUCAAGGGAGAAAGCCAUUUGAACAAAAACAAUAGCUUCAAGAGACUGAAUCGUGGAUGAAAUCUGAUCCACAUUUCUUCUCAUUUUGGGAAAAAAUGAGAACUUAACUACAAAGAUUCUACUGCCUCAUUCAUAGUGCUUUUCCUGAUCCAAGGUUGGUUCGUUUCCCAAAUUGUGAGGUGCACGUGCCACUCUCACGCUCAGGAGUGUAUCCACGUGGUGGACAUCAGAUGGUGGCUUAAUAUCUGGUGUCGGUGGCUUUACUUUACUAGGAGAGUAGUGUGUCUUCAUCUCAUUCACUGCCGGAGGGUGGCGUAAGCAGUGACGCUAAGGUGGGGCACAGUCAAUAUCAUUUGCAUUUGACCAUUAUAGUUUUCUCCCGGCUUGAAAGUAACCUUAUCGUGAUAAAGGAUUACUAGCACUAGUUCAGAUGACCGUCAUGUUAAUUCGGACCAUGUUUGUGUCACAUUAUCAGCAACCAUGUGUUUAUGGUUCAUGCUAUCUGCAACUAAACUUGAUAUAUAACCAGGUGAACUUCAAUCAAAAUUCUGGAAGUACUCUUGUGAUAGAUGGUGCCUGUCUGCAGAGUCCAUCAAUUGAAAAAUGGAGUGAGUGUAUCUAUAAGAGGGAAGGCUUGGCAAAUGUUCAGUUUUCUGGGAAUUCAACAAGGAUCUAAAAUAGAUUGUUUUCUUUGCCGACUUCAAUGGUUGAAAUUUGAGAAGAUUGUGUCCACAUAUCACAACUAUUACUGGUCCUUCUGUUGCAAUUUAUCCUGUAAGGCUCUAACAUGUCUUCCAAUUCCCACUUCCCUGUUACUCCAGGAAAGCUAUUUCUGUCAUUGUGAAGAAGAAAAGAGAAUGUACAUAUCGAUGCUUUUAAGUGACUGGAGCAUUCAUAUCAGGUGGUCUGCAGCCAUAUAUGCCACUUUGUGAAGGUUGGAACAGUCAAUCACUAGGCUAUAUAUUGGUGUGGCCCAGCCACUUCAAUCAAGGACAAGUCUUCAUACUUAAAGUCAAAUUCUGCCUUUAGUCUCAUUAUAAAUUGCUGUUUAAAUAUUAAGCAAACUUUUGUUUAAUGCGAUUAAGACAGUACUAACUCAAUACUUGUUCUAUUUUUGGAUGCAAAUGCUUGAUGGUUUCAUCAUUGGAUGGGAUAAAGGUGCAUUCAUGAUUAUGAAUACUUGUAGUUAUAUUUUCAUUCUCUUUUUUCUCAAUGAGACUUGUUGGCACAAUGUUGCUGUUCAGAAACCUACCUCUCCAUGGAAAAUAAGUUGCGAUUGAUAGUACUGGAUAUGUUCAAGAAAGCUAAAUAUAGAUAGCACAAAAUAUUAUCGAUAUAAAUAGCAUUAACAGCGUACGUAUGUCUCAAUGCUCAUCAGCUAUAAGCAUGGGACAAACACUUACUAUGAGCAACUUACGUCAAAAUUCCAGAAUAGGACAUAGAAGUGACAGAUCUAUAUAUAUAGAACACUGCAUAUGAGUCACAAGAAAGGAAAUUACGGGUGCAUAGCAGCUCUUAUUUUACAUACUACUACUCAUACUGAUCAAAGUCACUCAGUUGGGAUGGGUGGGAGUAGGAGGUUUGUGGGGUGGCUUGUGCGGAGGAGUUGGCAGCUUCUUUCCAGGACCUGGUUGCUUCUCUGCUGGAGUUGAAGGAGGCUUAAUCUUCCGAGGUGGCUUGUAUGAGUCUUCAGCAUUCUCAGCUGGAGGGUGACCAGGGUUGUGACCAUAAUGUGGUGGCUUCUCUCCCUUAGGUGGUUUGCCAACUGGGGUUGGUGGCUUGUAUGAGUCUUCAGCAUUCUCAGCAGGAGGGUGACCAGGGUUGUGACCAUAAUGUGGUGGCUUCUCUCCCUUAGGUGGUUUGCCAACUGGGGUUGGUGGCUUGUGUUCUGGGAGUGGCUUCUCCCCCUUGGGAGGUUUUUCCAAUGGGGUUGGUUUGUGUUCAGGAGGUGGCUUCUCCACUGGAGGCUUGUGUUCAGGAGGUGGCUUCUCCACCGGUGGCUUGUGUUCAGGAGGUGGCUUCUCCACCGGAGGCUUAUGCUCUGGUGGUGGCUUCUCCACCGGAGGCUUAUGCUCUGGUGGUGGCUUCUUGAAUGGGGGAUGCUGAGGGUAAUCAGCAAGUGAGGGGGCGGUGAGAACCACCAGGCCAAGCAACACCACUAGCAAAUAUGUAGGAGACAUCUUUGGGUUUGGGCUCAGAUGGUGCAAAACUAGGAGAAUUGGCUAGCCUUUUAUAGCGGAUCGUACUCAAUAAUGAAAUGACACGUGUCAUUAUGACCCAUGUGUAAUGGGGUCGAUUUGGGUCCUACAGUGUUGAAAACUUCGACAUCCAGUUUUGGCCUUUUGCUUUCUCUACAGCCGCCUUGCUUUUUCCCUCUUUCCUUUUGUUUUCCUCCUGCCCCAUUCUAUCAACUAAACACAAUUAUGUAGUUGUUUAAUUCUUAAAUGAGAUAUUAUCGGUCAAUCGUAUUAUAUUUUAUCAAGAGAGAACGGAGUGCAAUGCAGCUGUAAUUUUAUCGUUUACUUUUAUCUCUUGGACCACUGCAUUUUUGUUAAGAGGUGCAAUAAUACACGUCUUUAUCUGCCAUUCAAUGUUUACAGUAAAGAGAGGGCACAAAACUCUUCACUGCUCUGCAUGUGUCCCAAAAAUGCGAUUGGACAAAUUAUGAUUUGCAUGCUAAAAAGAGGCAAAUGAGGUUAAUUCGCACCAUAAUUAUUUGGUUUUCUGGACACCAUAAAAAGAUGUUAUACAGGCAGGGAAAAACCUUCAGAGUUAGCUACCAAAGAUAAUUAUCAAGCAGAUAUCACCAAGAGAAUUCCAUAGAGUCUGAAUCAAAGACAGAUUGCUCGCUCGUGGGGGUUCUUACUUUCUUUUGGGUAUAACUCACUGAGGUCACUGUCUUUUUUAUUUGCAUUUCACAGUUAGAGUUCUGCUCUGGAAGGUUUGUUCUGGAAACAUAUAAAAGGAGCAUCAUUUUGUUCUUGGGUAACCCAUAGUCGUGAGUGGGUCCAUUUGCAUGCUACUUAGUUGAAAAGUUGGACAAUUUGCUCCGACGCCUACCUCCUGGAUUCCAUGCUCGGUAAAACAAGAAUAAAAAAAAAUAUAUAAUUUACAAAUGGGGGAAAGAAAAAAUGUCGGAAAAAAUAGUAAAAUUCAUGUCACAUGCUAGUGAGAGAAGGGGUUGUUACACUCACUCGAAGUUCUUUUCAAAAUAUCGAAUGGUAUUUUACUUUAUGUGUCAGCGCAGUUGUGAAUGGAACGUGCAAAAGUCCAAAUUGGCGUUUUUAUUUUUCCCAUGUAGGAUGGUGACCUUUAAUAAAUAUUUAAAACAAAAGACGAAAAAAAAAAGGAGGGAAAAGGGAUCACAAAAGAUAAAAUAAUGUUUACAAAAGCUCAAUUAGUUUGCAAAUUACUGUUUGGAUUUUGAUAGUAUUUUAUUUGUCGUUCUAUAUUUGAUGUAAAAGAGAAUUUAAGAUAUUUCCGAAGCAAAAGCAUUAGUUUGCUCUGUGAUGUCCCACAUCGAAUAGGGGAGAAAGUUUCUGGCGCUAUAUAUGUAGAGGCUCCUCUUAACCAAGUAGAUGCGUUUUAAAACCAUGAGGGCCCCCUUAGGUCCAAAGCGGACAAUAUCUACAUGAUUGGGUGUAAGUCAUUACAAAUGGUAUCAGAGCCGAUCCCCGACCCCGGUGUGGGGGUUUGUUUGGCCCUGUAAGGGGUGUUUGUCUGUUUGACCCCACAAUCCCAUGGGACACAACGAGGACGUUGUGUCUGCAUGGGGGGGCGUUUGUGAUGUCCCACAUCGGAUAGGGGAGAAAGUUCCUAGUGCUAUAUAUGUAGAUGUUUCUCUUAACCAAGUAGAUGCAUUUUAAAAUUGUGAGGGCCUCUUUGGGCCCAAAGCGGACAAUAUCUACAUGGUUGAGUGUAAGUCAUUACAUGCUCCAUGUCAAUUUCAGCAUUUCUCAUAUGUUUCACACAUACACAGAAGAGCAUCGUUUUUUAAAGCAUGCAUUUAUGUUGGAUUAAUUUGGAUUUUGUGGGAACUGGGGCAAGGAUCACAUGGAAGAGAGGUUGACUUUUUUCAGUACUUCAAUGGUUGAAAUAUGUGAAGGCUUGAUUGAUACUAAAGCUUGAAAUUGCGACUCUGUCAUUUGUAAAAAAAUAUGACAGCUUCCAUGCUCUCGUUUGGUUGCAUUGUCCGGUCGAGAGGUGCAAAAAGCAUUCUCUCUCUUCUAAUAGUCUUUUCGUUUAAAUCAAGGGAUUUGCCUUCCCGGUCGAGGUCCAAUAGAGGGUAACGGUCACCUACUAAACAUUAAAUGCUCCAACAACUAGUGAACUGAUCGACCCCAGCUCGACUAGUUGAGGUUACUUUUUGGUUUUCUUGUCUCCCGAGGUUAGAAACCUAUAAAUAGAGAGCUUCACUUCAUUUAUGAGUAAGAGAACACCUAAAUUUAUUUGUUUACCUACUUGUUUUUGCCAUAAAAGCUCUCAUUUCUUUUCUUGGUGUAUUAAAUCUCCAUUUGCAUAUCCUUUAGUGCACCUUUGUGAUUCAUUCUAGCCUUGAGUUGUAUUUAAGCCUUUGUUGAGCUAGGUUGAGAGUUUCAUACUUGUUUAUUGAGUGUUAAAGCCUUCAAGUGAGUUAAAACUUGAAGAGAUUGUGUAAGAGCCCAUUGGAGUCGGAAUCCAAGUGUAAAGGUGAUUAAAAGCUUGGUUGAAGCUUCAAGUUAGUGGAACUCUCACUCGGUUAUGAGCUUGAGAAGAGUGGACAUAGACAAGGCAGUGUCGAACCACUAUAAAAUCUGAGUUUGAUUUCUCUAACCUUAUCUCUUUAUAUUUGCUUCUCUUGUGCUUAAAUUUUUUGUGUUUAAAAAGAAUUUUUAAAAACUCAAUUCACCCCCUUCUUGGGAGUUUUUCUCUUUUAAGAUCAGCUUUUAUUUUCUCAAUUGGUAUCAGAACUAUGCCUCUUGUUUAAGACUUAAUCGUCUAAGAGGAAAUGGCUAAUCCAUCAAGUUCAUCUCACAUUGAAAGUUUUGCAACCAAUAGACUUCUUUUUUUUUUUUUGCGGGAACUGAUUAUCCCUAUUGGAAAACUAAAAUGACUUGGUUUUUACAAUCAAUUGAUUUAGAUGUAUGAGAUGCCAUUGAAGAUGACCUAACUUUUCCUUCAAAACUAGUUGAUGGAGUCAUGGUUCCAAAACCUAAGCAAGAAUGGGAUGAGCGUGAUUGAAGAAAUUUUCAAUUAAAUGCUAAAGUCGUUUAUACUUUGCAAUGCUCUAUGGACAGAAAUGAAUAUAAUAGAAUAUGUCAAUGCAAAUCGGUUAAAGAAAUUUGGAGAUUGCUUGAAAUAACUCAUAAAGGAACAAAUCAAGUUAAAGAGUCAAAAAUCAAUUUACUUGUUCAUAGAUAUGAAUUGUUUUUUAUGAAAGAUAAUGAAACUAUUGUUAAGAUGAUCACUAGGUUCACCAACAUUGUUAAUGGUCUUAAAGCCUUGGGAAAGACCUACAAGGAAUCCGAAAACGUGAUGAAGAUCUUGAGGUCACUUCCAUCAAAGUGGCAUACCAAGGUCACCGCAAUUUAAGAAGCAAAAGACUUGAUCAAGCUACCUUUGGAGGAGUUCAUAGGGUCAUUGAUGACAUAUGAAAUCAAUUUGGCAAAGAAGUAACAAAAAGGUGAAGACAAAAAGAAGAAGAACAUAACUCUCAAAGCUACAACUAAGGAAGAAGAAGUUGAAGAAGAAAAACAAAUUGAAGAAGAUGAAGAUUUAGCCCUCAUCACAAGAAAGUUCAACAAAUUCAUGAGGGGUGAAAGGUUUAGAAGAAGAAGGUUCACUUCUAGAAGAGACUUUUCUAAAAAGGAAUCUUCAUCUAAUGGUGACAAAAAGAGAUGGGAAGAGAAAAGAGACUUGGUGUGUUUCAAGUGCAAGAAACCGGGACACAUUAAAUAUGAUUGUCCUCUCUACAAAAGUGAAGUCAAGAGGAAAAAGAAUAAGGCAAUGAUGGCCACUUAGAGUGAAAGUGAAGAUGAAUCAUCCGAAGAAGAAAAUGAGAAAGAAGUGGCAAACAUGUGUUUCAUGGCAAUAGAUGAACUUGAUGAGGUAAAAUCUAACCUUAGUGAUUAAGAUAUACAUGAUGCAUUUGAAGAAUUGUAUGAGGAUUUUUAAAAACUUAGUUUGAAAAAUAUUUCUCUUAAAAAGAAAGUUCAACAACUUGACAAAGAACUUAGAGAAGUAAAAGAAAAAUUUUCAAAUGUUAAAGUUUCUAAAACUCAUCUUGAAAAAGAAAAUGAGAUUCUAAGAAAGAAAAAUGAAUAGUUGAACUCCUCUCUUUCAAUCUUUUCUUCUAGACAAAAAUCUUUUGAAAUGAUUCUAACUAGCUAAAAAUGUGUUUUUGACAAACAAGGGUUAAGAUUUAAAUCUUCAAAAAAUCAAAAGUAUUUUAAAAACUAUUUUGUAAAGGAAUCCACAAGUGCAAGUCCUUCCACUACUUGCAACUUUUGUGGAAGAGAAUGGCACAUUAGUAGUACGCCCUUUAAGAAAUGGUUCUCAAAAGAAUUUAAAUGCAAAAACUAAAAAAGAUUUGGAUUGAGAAAUCCAAGGUCACUAACCCUCAAGGACCCAAAAAGAUAUAGGUACCUAAAUCAACUUGAGUUUUAUGUUGUAAGGUUCAAAGAAUGAUAAGUGGUUCUUAGAUAAUGGUUGCUCAAGACACAUGACCGGAGAUGAAUCCAAGUUUGCUUUUCUUAAAAAGAAAAAUGGAGGAUAUGUUACCUUUGGAGACAAUGCAAAAGAAAGGAUGAUUGGUCAAGGCAACAUUGGUAAUGGCACAUCCUCUCUCAUUGAAAGUGUUUUAUUAGUAGAUGGUUUCAAACAUAACCUUUUAAGCAUUAGUCAAUUUUGCGACAAAGGUUUUUAAGUGAUUUUUUAAGCAUCUCAUUGCAUCAUCAAGGAUAUUCAAAAUGAUAAAACCAUUUUCAUGGGCCAUAGAUGUGAUAAUGUUUAUGCUAUAAAUAUUUCAAAAUAUGAUGGCCAUGAUAGAUGUUUUUCAAGCAUGCAUGAUCAAAGUUGGUUGUGCCAUAGGAGAUUGAGACAUGCUAACAUAGACCUCAUUUCCCAACUCAACAAAGAUGAACUUGUUAGAGGCCUUCCCAAAAUAAUUUUUUAAAAAGAUAAAGUUUGUGAAGCUUGUCAAGUGGGAAAGUAAAUCAAAAACUCUUUUAAAAACAAAAACUUCAUUUCCACAUCUAGGCCACUUGAGUUGUUGCAUAUGGAUUUAUUUGGUCCCUCUAGGACACCAAGUCUUAGAGGAAAUUCUUAUGCAUAUGCUAUUGUGGACGACUUCUCUAGAUACACAUGAGUCUUGUUUUUUAGUCAAAAGAAUAAAGUUUUUUAUGAGUUUUCAAAGUUUUGCAAUAAGAUUCAAAAUGAAAAAGGUUUUUCAAUUACUUAUAUAAGAAGUGAUCAUGGGAGAGAAUUCGAAAAUAUUGAUUUUGAAGAGUAUUGCAAUGAGCAUGGAAUUGACCACAAUUUUUUGGCUCUUAGAACUCCUCAACAAAAUGGGGUAGUUGAAAGGAAAAAUAGAACUCUUCAAAAAAUGACAAGAACCAUACUAAAUGAAAACAACUUACCAAAAUAUUUUUAGGCCAAAACGGUUAACACUUCUUGUUAUGUUUUAAAUAGAGUAUUAUUGAGGCUCAUACUUAAGAAAACUCCCUAUGAGCUUUGGAAAAACAAAAAACCCAACAUUAGUUAUUCCAAAGUCUUUGGAUGCAAUAUUUUAUAAUAAACACCAAAGACAAUCUUGGAAAAUUUGAUGCAAAAUUGGAUGUUGGAAUUUUCCUUGGUUACUCAACUUCAAGUAAAGCUUUUCGAGUUUUAACAAAAGAACCAUGGUUGUAGAGGAGUCCAUCCAUGUUAUUUUUUAUGAAUCUCCAAGAAAGAGAGAGGAUUGAUGAUGAUUUAGGUUUGAAGACCUCUAUAGGAAGAUUGCAAAUCGAAGAUAGAAGACAACAAGAAGAAAAUGGAGAGAAUCCAAAGAAAGAAGGAUCACCAUUGGCACUACCCCCUCAUCAACAAGCGCAAGGUGAAUCAAGUCAAGAGCUUCCUAAAGAAUGGAAGUUUGUCAUCAAUCACCCACAAGAUCAAAUUAUAGGCAAUCCAUCUAGUGGGGUAAGAACUAGAUCCUCUCUUAGAAAUAUUUGCAAUAAUCUAGCUUUUAUCUCUCAAAUUGAGCCUAAAAAUAUAAAUGAUGUUUUAGAUGAUGAAAAUUGGAUAAUUGCAAUGCAAGAAGAGUUAAAUCCAUUUGAAAGAAGUGGAGUAUGGGAAUUAGUACCAAGACCUUCAAAUCAAAGUGUUAUUGGAACUAGAUGGAUCUUUAGAAAUAAAAUGGAUGAAAAUAGCAUAAUUGUUAGAAAUAAAGCAAGAUUGGUAGCCCAAGGUUUUAAUCAAGAAGAAAUGAUAGAUUAUGAAGAAACCUUUGCCCCCGUAGCUAGGUUGGAAGCCAUUAGGAUGCUACUUGCCUUUGCAUGUUUUAAAGACUUUGUUUUAUAUCAAAUGGAUGUGAAAAGUGCUUUUUUAAAUGGUUUUAUAAAUGAAGAAGUAUAUGUUGAACAACCACCCGGUUUUCAAAGUUUCAACUUUCCUAACCAUGUUUUUAAACUUAAAAAGACACUUUAUGGUUUGAAACAAGCACCUAGAUCAUGGUAUGAAAAAUUGAGUAAAUUUCUUUUGAAAAAAAUGUUUUAAAAUGGGAAAAAUUGACACAACUCUUUUUAUAAAAACCAAAGAAAAUGAUAUGCUCUUAGUUCAAAUAUAUAUUGAUGAUAUCAUUUUUGGUGCUACUAAUGUCUCUCUUUAUGAAGAAUUUUCUAAGUGCAUGCAUAGUGAGUUUGAAAUGAGCAUGAUAGGAGAACUCAACUUCUUCCUUGGACUUCAAAUCAAGCAACUAAAGGAAUGAACCUUCAUCAAUCAAGCAAAGUAUAUAAGAGAUCUUCUCAAAAGGUUCAACAUGGAAGAAGCCAAAACAAUGAAGACUCUAAUGAGCUCAUCCAUUAAGCUUGAUAAGGAUGAGAAAGGUAAAUCCAUUGACUCUAUUAUGUAUAGAGGCAUGAUAGGUUCUUUGCUCUAUUUGACCACUAGUAGACCUUACAUUAUGUAUAGUGUGUGUUUGUGUACUAGAUUUCAAUCUUGUCUUAAAAAAUCUCACUUAAGUGUCGUGAAAAGAAUCCUCAAAUAUUUGAAAGGGACAAUGGACAUAGGCUUAUGGUAUCCUAAGAGUGAUAACUUUGAAUUAAUUGGUUUUUUGGAUGCUGAUUUUGUCAGUUGUAGGGUUGAAAAAUAAAACACUAGUGGCACUUUUCAUUUCUUAAGACACUUACUUGUCUCAUGGCAUAAUAAGAAGCAAAAUUUGGUAGCUUUGUCAACAGCAGAAGCUAAAUACAUAGCAACUGGUUUAUGUUGUGCACAAAUCCUUUGGAUGAAAUAAACACUUAGUGAUUUUGAUUUAUCUUUUGAGCAUAUUCCUAUUAAAUGUGAUAAUAGUAGUGCCAUAAGUAUAUCAAAAAAUCUCGUGCAACACUCUAGGACUAAGCAUAUAGAGAUUAGACAUAAUUUUCUUAGAUAUCAUACACAAAAGGAUGAUAUAACACUUGAAUUUGUAAGCAUAAAAGACCAACUUGCCGAUAUCUUUACAAAACCUCUAAGAACAUUUUGUUGAUAUUAGAGGACAAUUAGGAGUGAUUUCUUUAUGAUCUAAUGUGAUGAAUUCUUGAUGAAUAUACUUUUUGAUUGCAUGAAUUUCAUGUCAUAUAUGCAUCAUAUAGAAAUAUACUUAGAUAAUGGUCAAAUUUCGACCAAAAAUCAAAAUUCCCAUGGCAUUAGGCAUAAAAAUUUUGGAAUUUCAACUGAAAAUGGUAGGAGGAGGAUCACAAAAUGAGAAAGUAUGCAAAAAUUGAAAAAUCAAAACGUUGACCAAGCGGUCAAUCGGACUAGACCGAUCGACUAGUUUGUCGAGAUUUAGGAUUUUUAAGAGACUCCAACGCUUCAAUUUUUGCACCGUUCUCCUCUAUUUCUUCACGGUUUCUCUGAUUUUGUCUUUUAGAGACUAAUUUGAGUGCGUUUUGGAUCAAUUGAAGCAUUUUGGAUUGGAUUUUAGGAAGAUUGAAAGUUAAGGUUUCGGAUUUGGGUCGCCUUCUCUUCCUCUCGCGUGUCACAAUCAGCUUUAGCAUUGUUCUCUUUCCAUUUUCACACACCUAGGGUUUCAGUUGUGAGCAUCUCUCUCUCUUUACCAACCACUACUCCCUUGCUUCUUCCAUAUGGCUCCUAGGCGAGAGUCCGCUACUUCUAGGGCACAAGGCAAGCACCCAACUGAGUCGUCUCAGUCAAAGGCACGUCGAAAAGUGAGAUUUGACAUUGCCUUGUUCAGUUCCAUGGAGGACUACCAACUAUACAAGCAACACUUUGCUUAGAGACGAGUAGUUCCCAAGAGAAAUAUUAAUUUUCCUCAACUUCAGCAUUUCGAAUUUAAGGGUCUAUUUACUAGGAUGGUUGGUUGUCUAUUGUCACAAUUUCGGAGCCGGUUUUCCUGACCUUAGUGCGAGUUUUUUACUCGAGGGCGACUUAUGGCAUGGGUGGCAUGAUCAUUUCUACUGUUGGAGGAGUUGAGAUCUGUCUGGACCCAGAGAGCAUCUGCCAUAUUUUCGAUAUUGCUCUGGUUGGACUCAAAGUAUACAAGUCCAAAAUGUGGCCCAUUGUGCCAGGAUUUGAGCUUAGAGAGGUCAUUCAGAGGAUUUGUGAACUUCCAGACGCCCAGGAGAUGGGCAAACCAUUGCCACACAGUUUGACGGUCAUCAACAGGGUGCUACACCAUAUAUUGUGCUCUAUCUUUCUACCACGAAGUGGACAUUGAGAUGAGGUCUCUUAUUAUGAGGCAUUCCUUAUUGACUCCAUUCUAACGGAGAGACGAAUUCAUCUACUAUGUCAUCAUUCACUAAGCCUCCUCACAGUGACAUACCACCUCAUCAGGCACCUCUUGCUCCUGACCAUGCUCCAUUGAUGGAUUUAUUUACUCAUAUUAGCUCUCUAGGCACUCGCAUGAAGGAGUUUGUUGUAGUUAGUGAUACAUGGUUCUACUCCAUAGAGGAUCGCAUGGAUCAGUAUCAGACUGGCUUCACGUCACAGUUUGAGUAUCUCCAAUAGAGGAUUGAGCAUAUUGAGGAUCACUUGAGCAUGAGAAGAUGAUGGCUUUUCUAUGCUCUGUGUUUCCACCUCCACCUCGUCAACCUUGAUUUCUUAGAGACCCAUUGUUUUCAUUUUGUAAUGUUGCCAAAAGGGGGAGAUAUUUAGGAUCUAGGACUCUAUAGGAGACUUACAUGCAUAUCAUUUUCAUAUCAUUGUUUGGAUCGUACAUAUUGGAUAGUGAUACUUUUUACUUAUAUAUGAUAUGCCUAUAUGUUUCAUGUCUUACAUUGUUUCUUAUUGCAAAUUAUCUCUAACAUGUCUUGAUUAUCUUUUUUUUAACUUCAUAAAUUUUGAUUGUUAACCCAUGAUUGGUUUGAGGGGAAGAUUCUUCUUCUCCUAGAUAACCAAGGUUUGUCAUCAUAAAAAAAUUGGAGAUUGUUAGCCCAAGGGUUCUCCUAAUCAUGUUUUGAUGAUAACAAACCAUGCUUAAGUUACUAAUUGGUUUGAAUUAUAAAGAAUUUCAAGUGUUAAUUUGAAAAUUCAUCAAAGAACCUAAUGGAUGCAAGAUCAAGAUUUUUGGAAGACCUUUAAUCAUAAGAAACAUAUGUAAGAUGAAUGCAUGGGUGCACUUAAGAUUUGCAUAUCAUUUCAUGCAUAUUUGGAAAACACGGUUUAUGCUUUAAAGUUACAUUUCCAUCAAAAUUUGAGAUCCAUCAAAUGAACCUUAGGAAAAAUGUUUUAAAAUUGGCAUAUAAUUUUACCUAAAGACCUUGCCUAAGUGUUAGAAGCAAAAGGACAAAAAAAAUAUAGGUUUUCUGGUCAAAAAUGGUGAACCAGUCAAGGCAUUGUCUAAAUCAGCUCAAUCGGCCAAGGUACCGGUCGAUCGGUUUCCCUUUCCCUGUCGAGAUCUAGUCAAGAGGUACAAAAAUCACAAUCUCUGUCUCUUUCUCUCUUUGUCUAUCUUCCAGUAGUCUUUCCUUCCCGGUCGAGGGAUUUGCCUUCCCGAUUGAGGUCCGAUUGAGAGUAAUAGUCACUUGCCAAAUAUUAAAUGCUCCAACAGUUAGUGAACUGGUCGACCCCCACCUUGCCCAGUUGAGGUUACUUUUUGGUUUUCUUGGCUCCCGAUGUUAGAAACCUAUAAAUAGAGAGUUCCACUUCAUUUAUGAGCAAGAGAACACUUGCAUUUAUUUGUUUACCUACUUGUUCUUGCCUUAAAAGCUCUCAUUUCUUUUCUUGGUGCAUUAAAUCUCCAUUUUGAUAUCCUUUAGUGCACCUUUGUGAUUCAUCUUAGCCUUGAGUUGUAUUUGAGCCCUUUUUUUAGCUAGGUUGAGAGUUUCAUACUUGUUAAUUGAGUGUUAAAGCCUUCAAGUGAGUUGAAACUUGUAGAGAUUAUGUGAGAGUCGAUUGGAGCCGAAAUCCAAGUGUAAAGGUGAUUAGAAGCUUGGUUGAAGCUUCAAGUUAGUGGAAUCCUCACUCAAUUAGGAGCUUGAGGAGAGUGGACGUAGCCAAGGAAGUGUCGAACCACUAUAAAAUUUGAGUUUGAUUUCUCUAACAUUGUCUCUUUAUAUUUGUUUAUCUUGUGCUUAAAUUUAUUGUGUUUAAAAAGAAUUUUUAAAUACCCAAUUCACCCCCCUCUUGGGUGUUUUUCUCUUUUAAAAUUAGCCUUUAUUUUCUCACAAACUAUUGUAGUAUAGUGGUUUUUAGGUGUCAUCCAUUAGGAUGAAUUGUUCUCGGUAAUUAAGGCGUGAAUGAGAGGAGAAUUAAUGAUUGUGAUUAAGUAAAAUUGAUUUGAAAAUUCAUGGUGAAAAAUCAAUUUAACAAUGGUUUCUAAUUGAGAAAAACAAUGAAAUGUGAAAUAAAAUAAAAUUAAUAGGAAAUGAAAUUCUCGAAGUUAGAAUUUUCUAAAAAACAAAUUCCAUGGUGAAUGGAUGUUGAGAUCUAAUUUUCAUCAAGUUAGAUUGAAAACCGAAAUUUUCAUAUAAACUGAUUUUUUAUUUAGUUUUAGGUCUAGAUUUAAUUUCCCUUAAAAUUAGGUUAUUUAAUCCAAGAAAUCAAUUCAAAUCAUAUAUUCAAUUCAUCUUAAAUUAUCUUCCAAUUAUUCACACAAUGCAACUAUUCAAUCUCAUCAAAUCUAGCUUUUAAGAAUUUAAUGAAUCUACCUAGUUUGCAUUGUAAUAGUCAUCCAUGACAAUUUGAAGAGAAAAAUAAUUCAAUUAAUCAAUCACUUGGAUCAAAUUACCUUUGCAAUUAAAGUUCAUUUCUCUAAUUCACCACAGAUUUUGUCUCUAGAUCCUCCUUUCUCAAAGAAAAAUGAGAUUUAGCCACACAUGAUUGGAGAUUUGGUCUCAUAAGGCAUGUUUAGCUAGUGAUAAAAUGAGAGAAAAUAAAGAAAAAUAGAGAAUUCGAUUAAGAAAGAAAAUCUAAAAAAUUCUACAAUUAGAAAUGUCCAAAAAGCUUUUUCAUGAGAAAAUCAAGUUUCUAUUUAUAGGCCAAGGUCAAGUGGACACUUGACAUCAUCUAAGAGGUCUUCCGGAAGCUUCUUCAUCAAGAAAUCUGGAGUUUAAUAAUAAAAUGGUCAUUUCACAAGAGCUCAAACAAUUUCGCAUGAUUAUGUGAAAUAAAAAAUGCAACAACAGCAAUUUACAUCUUCUUGGAGCAUUUCGCAUGACUGUGUGAAAUUUUCACAUGAUCAUGUGGAAUCGACUUGACAACUCUCAUUUAGCCUACAACAUAAUUCCACCUUUUGGUCCAUUUUUCAUAGUCAUGCGAAAUGGAAAUAUUUGAUUUUUAAGUUUUCUUUUGUCAUUUCUUUCAUUUCCUUCUCUUGAUUCCACUUCAACUACCUCCGAAUCCUGGUCCAAACCAAUUGCAUUACUUCUUUCAUUAUGCAUUUGGAUCAUCAUCAACAUUAUUUGUUCUCUUCAAUUUGAUUCAUCUCUUUUGUCACCAAUUUAUCAAAAUCAUACCUUGAAAUGACUCCAAAACUUCAUAAAACUUGUUAGUAACUCUUGCAAGGGCAACAACAUAUUAAUUAAGUGUUUUAGGCAUAGUUACUACUCAAAAGAUGCGAAACUCAUGAUAAUUAUUAUAUAAAAUAUGCUCUUUUUGAGUAGUAAUCAACUUUCUUGCAUAAGCAGACCUUUUAGGGUGGAGUACUAAAGACCAAUAUGCUUGUCCUUGUUGUAAUAAAGAAACUUGCUCUUAUUGAUUGCACCAUGGGAGAAAAUUUUGCUACAUGAGUUAUCAUCAAUUUCUUCCCACCAAUCAUAGAUUUAGACGUGACAAGAGGCCUCUUAAUGGCAAGGAGGAACUGACACUCACACUUAUACAAUUAUCGGGCAUUGAUGUGUUGCAACAAUUAGAAUAACUUACACCAAUUAUGUUGGGGAAGUCACAAAAGGCAAACAUGAAAACUAAAAGGAAAAAAGAAAAAUGUUACAUAUCACCACAACUGGAAAGAAAAAAGUAUUUACUUUCAUUUGCCAUAUUGGAAAGCACUUAUUUUACAUCAUAAUAAUUUAGACAUAAUGCAUAUUGAGAAAAAUGUGUGACAAUAUAAUUGAGACAUUGUUCAGUAUUGACGAAGAAACAAGGACAACCUAAAUAGUCAUCUCGAUUUACAAGCUCUAACUAUUAGAAAUGAGAUUCACCCAAUAGAAAGCAGGACCAAAUUUAUUUUGCUUGCAACAUGCUACUCACUCACCCCAAAUGAGAUUAAGGAAUUUUGCAAGUUUUUGAAAUCAAUAAAGGUCCCCAAUGGCUAUUCUUUCAAUAUCUCUCGUUAUGUGCAACUCAAUGAAAGGAAGAUAUAUGAGCUCAAAUUGUAUGAUUGUCAUGUCCUAAUGCAACAACUUCUCUCACUUGUAGUUCGUGGAGUUCUACAUAAGAAUGUUUGUGGAGUUAUCAUAGAAUUGCGUAAUUUUUUCAAGCAAUUGUGCUCAAAGGUGUUAGAAACAAAUCACUUACACCAACUUGAGAACAAUAUUAUUGUCAUACUAUGUAAAAUGGAGCAAAUAUUUCUUCCAUCAUUCUUUGAUAUUAUGGUGCAUUUACUUGUGCAUCUAGUAAGGCAAAGGUUGCAAGACUUGUGCAAUAUUGUUGGAUGUACCUAAUUGAACGAUAUUGUUAUAAUUUCAUAUGAAUCAUUUAAUUUUAUUUUAUAUUAUGUUCAGUUCAUUAACAUGUACAUUGGUCUACAUAUGGAUGAUGAUAGGUACCUAAGCACUUUAAAGUCAUAUGUGCGUAAUAGAACUUUUCUAGAAGGUUCUAUUGUAGAAAGGUACCUUGCAAAAGAAUGUACAACAUUUUAUUCUAGGUACUUGAAUGAUGUGGAAAUAAAGUAUAAUCACAAUGAUAGAAACUUUGUUGGUUUCAACACUAGAGGAGAUGAAAGGGGUUAUCUUUAAACAUAUUGGACAUGCAUUGGGAAAGCCCAUAUUUCAUUAACUUAGUUCAAAAGAGUGGUCACAAGCACAUUUAUAUGUGUUGACAAAUUGCGAAGAUGUCAUACCAUUCAUUGAGUAAAAAAUUUAUUUGAAUUUUAAUUAAAGCUCUAGUUUAUAUCCUUAAUCAAUGUUUUUUAAAUUCACAAGGAGCACAAGCAAACCAUCAAGGCUAGACCACAUAUACGUGUUUGAGACGUAGAUUUAAUUCAUAACAAGGAAUUUAUCAAGUGGUUUGAAAGACAUGUAAGUAUAUUCCUUAUUAUAAGGGAUUUAUUUCACAUUAUGUUUAUAUUGAAUCCAAACCUAUUAUUGAAUUGUAGGUUGAACAAUUACAUAAUGAAGGUCAUAUAUCUGAACACCUUCUCACAUUAUCAUGUGUUCCAAAUUCAUUAGUUACAUGCUUCAAAUGAUAUAUUGUCAAUGGAUUUAGAUCCCACAUUAAAGAACGUGAUAAAAAAGUUUUUAAAAAAAGACUCAGAAUAAUGGAAUUGUUGUAGUUGCAAAAACGUCAAGCUUUACAAGUGCAUGUGAUAUGAGUCCAAUUAUUAGUGAUGCUCUCUACUAUGGUGUUCUAACUAAAGUUGUUGAGUUACAUUAUCUUGGUGAAAAUAAGGUUGUUUUAUUCGAGUUUGAUUGGUGGGAUGUUACAAAUAUUGGAAAAUUGAUAAAAGAUGAUGAGUACAAUUACACAUUUGUUAACUUUGCAUGAAUUCUAACCACGAACGAACGAUUUGUACUUGCAUCUCCAGCAAAGUAAGUGUUCUAUGUGAAGAAUGCGAAUGAAUCAGAUUGGCAUACUAUCAUGGAGAUGCAACCUCAAGACCUCUAUAAGAUGAACGGGAUAGGAUCCAAUGGUGAUUUUGAACCAUUUCAACAAAGUGAACUACAUGAUCACUAAUAUAUCUCAGAUUUAGUUGAUGAAGAUAUAAUCAAGUGGAACAAAAGUGAUGUUUUAGGACUAAUCAUCCUAAAAAAUAUUGUAGUUUCUUAAAAAAAAAAUGAAAAUGAAGAAGAUAAUUGAACCUUUGUCAUACUUUAAAAAGCAACUAUGCAUUGUUCAUUUUGUAUGUUUUGGUUUUCUUCAUUUAAUUUCCUGAUUUUUGUGAUUCAAUGUCAUAUUAUUGAUCUUGAAAUAUUUUUCUAAUUUUUCAUUCUACGAUGGUUUCAACAAGGAUGACAUCAAGUCAAAAAAGGAAAUGUGGUCCCACACACAAUAUUGCAUUACAGGGAUUAAGGUCAGGGAAGAAGGUAAAAGUUGCAUUUAAUGAGUACAAUCAAUUGGUUAAACAGAAAAAUGGAAAACACUUAUCGAGCUACAUAGGGACACUUGUAUCUAACCAACACAAUGUACCUCUCCAAGCUAGUGAUUGGAAAAAUGUUCCAAAUGAUGCAAAAGAGAAAGUAUGGCCUUUGUUUUGGUAUGUUGUAUUUCUCACUAUAUGAUGUCAUUUCACUGUUAUUCUAUUUUGUGACUAACGUUUGAAUCAUAUGUAAGAAAAAUUUGAAGUAGAUAAAGACUGAAAAGAUUACAUGUUGGGUAUAGCCUCAAAUAAAUAUAGAAGCUAUAAAAAUAUGAUGAAUGCAAAAUACUAUGACCCUUGGCAUAAGGAUGCAUGAGGAGAGGUUAAUACAUAAAUCACCAUUUGUCUCUGAUGUUGAUUGGAAGUGGCUUGUCUCUGAUGCAUAAACCAAAUCCCCCACUGAAUGUUUGAUAUUUGAUAGCAGGAAAAACACACCCGCAGCUAUACACCUCCAUCAUUCAGAUAAUUAUAGUGGGGGAGAUGAUUCAUGGUUGCCCUUAUACCCUUUAUUUGCACCAUCUAUUGAGAUUCUUUAUCAUGGCCAGGUUUUACUGCAGCAAUAAGAUAUGGUGGCAACAAUUUUAUCUAUAGGUGCGGUUCCAGACCGCCUCCAUAGGUGCGGUUCCUGACUGCCUCCAUAGGUGCCUCUUCUUGUAAUGUUUGUUCUGGGAAUUACACUUGAAAGCCUUAUCGUGAUAAGGGAUUACAAACACUAGUUCAGAGGACAGCCAUGUUAAACUUCCACUAUGUUUGUGUCACAUUAUCAGCAGCCUAGUGUUUAUUGGUCAUGCUAUCUGCAACUAAUAUAACCCGGUGAACUUCAAUCUAAAUUCUGAAAGUACUCAUGUGACAGAUGGUGCCUUUCAGCAGAUAUCAUCAAUUUAAAAGUAGUGUGUGUGCCUAUAGGUGGGAAGGCCUUGGCAAAUGUUCAGUAUUCCGGUAAUUCAAGAAGGAUAUAUCUAAAAUAGAUUUUCUUCUUGCCCAUUUCAAUAGUUAAAAUUUGAGAAGAUUGUGUCCACAUCACACAAAUAUUAUUGGUCCUUCUGUUGCAAUUUACCUCUGAACAUGUCUUCCAAUUCCCACGGUCCUGUUACUCCAGGAAAACUAUUUCGGUCAUAUUGAAAAAAAAAAUAUUAAAGAAGGUACACAUGCUUUUAAGUGGACUGGGGCAUUCAUAUCAGGUGGUCUGUAUCCACAUAUGCCACUUCGUGAAAGGUGGAACAGCCUAAUCACUAGGCUAUUUAGUGUGGCCCAGCCACGUUAAUCAAGCACAAGUCUUCAUACUUAAAGUCAAAUGGUGUCUUUAGUCUCAUUACACAUCGCUAUUUGAAGAUUAACUCAUCACUAGUGUAAUGCGAUUAAGACAGUCCUAACUCAAUAUUUGUUCUAGUUUUGGAUGCAAAUGCUUGCUGGUUUCAUCAUUGGAUGGGAUAAAGGUGCAAUCAGGACUAUGAAUACGUGCAGUAAUACUUCAUUCUCUUUUUUCUCAAUGAGACUUCUUGGCACAAUUUUGCUGCUCAGCAACCUACCUUUCCAUGGAAAAUCAGUUGUGACUGAUAGUAAUGGAUAUAUUCUAGAAAGCUAAACAUAGAUAGCAUUCAAUAUUAUCGAUAUAACAUUAACAGCGUAUGUCUCAAUGCUCAUCAGCUACAAGCAAUGGACAAACACUUUGAGUAACUCACAGCAGUCAAAAUUCCUAAACAGGACAGACGUGACAGAUCUAUAUAUAGAACACUGCAUAUGAGUCACAGGAAAAGAUAAUACGGGUACAUAGAAGCUCUUAUUUUACAUAUUACUCAUACUGAUCAAAGUCGCUCAGUUGGGAUGGAUGGGAGAAGGAGGUUUGAGGGGUGGCUUGUGCGGGGAAGUUGGCAGCUUCUUUCCGGGAGCUGGUUGCUUCUUUGCUGGAGUUGAAGGAGGCUUAAUCUUCCGAGGUGGCUUGUAUGAGUCUUCAGCAUUCUCAGCAGGAGGGUGACCAGGGUUGUGACCAUAAUGUGGUGGCUUCUCUCCCUUAGGUGGUUUGCCAACUGGGGUUGGUGGCUUGUUUUCUGGGAGUGGCUUCUCUCCCUUGGGUGGUUUGCCAACUGGGGUUGGUGGCUUGUGUUCUGGGAGUGGCUUCUCCCCCUUGGGAGGUUUUUCGAAUGGGGUGGGUUUGUGUCCUGGUGGUGGCUUCUCUCCCUUGGGAGGUUUACCAAUUGGGGUCGGUGGCUUGUGUUCUGGGAGGGGCUUCUCUCCCUGGGGAGGUUUAGUGGGUGGCUUGUGUUCUGGAGGUGGCUUCUCCACCGGAGGCUUAUGCUCUGGUGGUGGCUUCUCGAAGGGGGGAUGCUCAGGGUAAUCACCAAGUGAGGGGGUGGUGAGAACCACCAUGCCAAGCAACAACACUAGCAAGUAUGUAGUAGACAUCUUUGGGUUUGGACUCAGACAGUGCAAAACUACGAGAAAUCGCUAGCCCUUUAUAGCGGCUCGGACCUAAUACUGACAUAAUAUAAAAUAAAUAUUAUAUUUUAUCAAGAGAGAACAGAGUGUAAUUUUAUCAUUAAUACCGAUCGAGGCCAAAGAAAGAAGACCCAUAAUCCAUUUCCCACAAGCAUACACAAUGCAGCUGUAAUUUUAUCAUUUACUUUUAUCCCUUGGACCACUGCAUUUUUGUUGAGAGACACAAUAACACAUUUUUAUCUGUCAUUCAACAUUUACAGUAAAGAGAGGGCACAAAACGCAAUUAGAUAAAUUAUGUUUUGCCUGCUAAAAAGAGGCAAAUAACUUUAUUUGCAACAUAAUUAUUUUGGUUUCUAGUGACCCCGGGGCCUUUCGGUUGGUUUGGGAUCGGAAAAUGAACAUCAUAGGGGGGGUUGUGCCCUUAUGGGCAUAUAUAUCUGAUAGCUUCAACUGGCCUUGUUCCUAGAAAGAAAUUGCCAAAGAUAUAAACUUAUUCCAGGCUGAAAGUAGAUGAGAGUCAUAAUGAACAUCAACCUUUGUUCAGUUUGAUUCAAUGCCCCCAUAGUGUUCAUUUCACAGAUCUGAAUGAUUAUAUCCGUUGAAUACAUAAAUUAAUGAAGACAAAUAUGAAACCCAAGAUACAUCUCUGCAUAACAACCCCAACCCUGGUUGCUAUGUUUCCCUUCUUCUAUUCACAUGAGGAUACUGGUUAUAAUUGUCAAACUUGCAACAAGCCCUUUGACACCUAACGUCAAUGGACGAAUUAAAAGUCUCCUUCAAACGUCUAUUUCACAGCAUGAAGCUUAUAAAGGAUGCUGACAACCUUCAGAGUUAGCGACAAAAGAUAAUUAUCAAGGAGAGAUAGUUCCAUGAGAAUUCCAAGGAGUCUGAAUCAAAGACAAAUUGCUCACUCAAGGGUUCUUAUUUUCUUUUAGGUACAAAUCUCUUGAGUGUUGUUAAAGAAACACGUCACUGUCAUUUUGAUUUGCAUUUAACAUUUCACUUUUGUUCUGGAAGGUUUGUUCCGGAAACAUAUCAAAUGAGCAUCAUUUUCUUCUUCGGUGACACAUGGUCGCGAGUACGUGGGUCCAUUUUCAUGCCACUUAGUUGAAAAGUUGGAAAGAAAAAACAUGCCAACAAGAAGAUAGUGAGAGAAGGGGCACUUCAAGCCUUUAACAUGAACAAACAGUAAAUAAAAGAUGUUUCUCCACUCAUAAAAGUGUGUUAGAUAGCAAUAUAACGAAUCACAUCCAAAAUCUUUACUAGGCUCAAACAUAAAGAAGACUCAUUUUUAAGAAAAGAUAAAAAUGGCAUUGUCUGAUAGUAUCCAAUACACGAGAUGGCACUUAAUUUGUACAAGAUCUGUCAAUGCUGACGCACAUUUUCUGAUUAAAAAAAAACUGAUCAGUCAAAAGCAAUGAAGAGAAGUGAUGACAAUGAAUGAUGCUUCCAAUAUUUUCACCCCUUAUAGUGUUCUUCAUGAUUCAGAUAUAUAAUUGGAAAUAGAACAACCCUAUGCCAUACAUUCGUCUAAGUAUGGUGUCUAAUUUUUUGUGUCAGCGGUUGCGAAUGGAGCGUGCAAAAGUCCAAAUUGGCGUCUCUCCAUUUCCACAUAGGAAGGUGACCUUUAUUGACAAAUACCCAAUAUUUGUAGACAUUCCUUAAAUAUCAUAACUUCUUGUUGAUUUGAAAAUCAUUUUUCAACUACCAUGUUUUAAUAAAUAUUUUUUAAAAUGUAUUUUUAUCAAAGUCCACCAUGAUGGAUAAUAUUCACCAUGCAAUAAUUAAUAAAGUACAAACUAAGCGAAAUGAAAAGCAUUUUCUUUGCUUUGAGUUGAUUUUGGUUGCAUUGAGUUGAUUUUGGUUUCAUGGUUUUUUCAACUCUUAUUUUGAUUGGAAGAUGUCAAGAAAAGAAAACAUAAAGAAAAAUUAAAAGGGAAAAAAGAAGAAAAAUAAAAAAAAAUAGAUUUAAAAGUUAAUAAAUUAUUUUUUAUAUUUAUUUUAAUUCAUUUCACUUAUUUUUCUUUUACUAUAUAAAAUUUAAAUAAUUUAAAUUUUAUAAUUAAUUUAAUUACAUUUCAUUUUCUUCUAUAUUUAAAUAUUGGAAAAAUAUUUUACUUAAUAUUUUUUUCUUUAAUUUCUUUGGCAUUUUGGGAACCAAACUUAGCCUUUAAAAUAAAAAACAAAAAAAAAAUGAAAAUAAGGAGGGAAAAGUGAGAAAAGAUAAAAACAAUAUGUAAAGGAUUUGAAAAGUAUUAGUUUGUAAUUACUAUUUGGAUUUCAAUAGUAUUUUAUUUGUCUUUCUAUAUUUCAUGUAAGAGAGAAUUUAAGAUAUUCCCCAAGGCAAAGCAUUAGUUACCUGCAAUCAGUGGUGAUAAGGCUCCAAGCCAAUUUUGGGCCCCAUAUCUUAAGACAGUACAAUUUCCAUUUCAACAUUUCUGAUUUCUCAGAUGUUUCACAUACCACAGAAGAACAUUGUUUGUGAAAAUAUGCAUUUAUGUUGGAUUUUGUAUGCUGUGGGGACUGGGGCAAGGAUCAUAUGGAAGAGUGGUUGACUUUUUCUGUACUUUAACGGUUGAAAUAGGAUAAGCACGGGCAUUUGUGAGGCUUAAUUGAUUUUGAAGCCUGAAAUUGCGUUUCUGUCAUUUUGUCAAAAAAAUGGCAGAUUCCAUACUCAUAUGUUUGGCCUGUGGCCAUGUACAGAUGCCAUUUAGUGACCAGUUUGUAACUGUCAAUCGUUGCGUUUUGACUCUGCCUCAACAACAUCUGCCAUUGACGGGUUUUCAUACUUGCAAAUCAAAUAGUCUUUCGUCCCAUCAGGAAUUUCGGUUUAAAUAUUAUUAAGCAUACGUUUGGCUGACAAUCAUUAUCCAGUUCAUGAUUUGGUUUCUUACCCUUAAUCAAUGGUUUCUAAGUGAAUAUAUGUAGAAGGAAAUCCGAAGUGUAGACAGUAGUAUCGAUAACUCUCAAUAUUCUCUAUAUAAUAGAAUAAACAGCGUCAUAGUGAUCGUCGCCUACAAGCAAGGUACAAAUACCAAAACGAGUGACUCACAUAGACAUCUCCCAACAAGAUGUAGUAGUGACUGACACAUGGACACAAUUAACUCGUAGAAAAGGAUAAGACCAUUGCACAGCAGCUCUUAUUUUACAUACUACUUAUGCUAACCAAAGUCAAUUAGUUGGGAUGGGUGGGAGAUGGAGGUUUGUGCGGUGGCUUGUGGGGCGGAGUUGAUGGCUUCUUUCCAGGAGCUUCUGGCUUUUUCAUCGGAGCUGAAGGAGGCUCAAUCUUAUGAGGCGGCUUGUAUGAGUCUUCUUUACUCUCGACAGGAGGGUGGCCAGGGUUGUGAUCAUAAUGUGGUGGCUUCUCUCCCUUAGGUGGCUUGCCAACUGGGGUUGGUGGCUUGUGUUCAGGAAGUGGUUUCUCUCCCAUGGGAGGUUUAGCAAUUGGGGUUGGUGGCUUGUGUUCUGGGAGUGGCUUCUCUCCCUUGGGAGGUUUAGUAGGUGACUUGUGUUCUGGAGGUGGCUUCUCCACCGGAGGCUUGUGCUCCGGUGGUGGCUUCUUGGUUGGAGGGGGCUUGGGGUAAUCAGCAAGAGAUGGGGUGGUGAGAACCACCAGUCCAAGGAACAACACUAGCAAGUAUGUGGGAGACAUUUUUGAGUUUGGGCUGAUCAGAUGAUGCAAAACUAAAGCAUUACGUGACCUUUUAUAGCAUGUAGCUCCCAAUACCCACUAAGUAUUGUGGGGUCCAUUUGUGCCCUACGGGGUUGAAAACUUAGACAAUUGGGCAAGGACCCACCUGACUAUGGAGGACUAGUGAGGUGUGAUCAUAGCUUUAGGAUUUUUCUUCCUCUGCAGCCGUCGUGCCGUUGGCAUGAUUUUCUUAAUCUUAAAUAAAGGCAUAGUUAUAGAGUUGUUUAAUCUCUAAAUGGGAUUUUAUAUAUAUCUUCAGAUAGCCAUUAAUAUAUUUGAUGAAGAAAGAAAGACAAGUGCAUACAACAUGUAUACGACUAGCUUUCAUGGAGUUCAUUUAUGAUCAGUUUUCCUGUACAUGUAAACCAGGAUCAUAUAUAUGUUUCUGUUCCACAACUAUUUUGGAAUCUUGUUUAUCAGUUUUUAUCAUUAUAAUGUCACAUAGGCUGCCAACUUGGGCGCUAAAAGAACCAGUUGGGCUAGUUCGUUUCAGAAUUUCAAUGUGGAUUCAGGAAUUGUUUUGUAAGAUAUGCGAAAUAGUAGAGGGAUGAAUAGUGUUUCAUUAAUAAAAGUGUCCUGUAAAUUAGAAGGUGUCAUAGAAACUAUAAUCAAUAAAUAACUUUUUUUCCCCACGGGUGGUGUUUCUUGUGGGGAUCAGUGACUGGUUUAGGUUCACCCAAAAUGAGUUCAGACUAAAAUUGGUUUGAGUCAAUGCCGUGUCUCUUUUUUCCAGAAAUCAACUAUUUUAUGCAUUGAAUAAAUCAUACAAAGAAAAUAUGAACGCCCGCAAAACCUAAACCCUGGUUGCUAACUUUCUAUGUUUCAGUUCUAUUCACGCAAGAAUAUUAGUUUAAGUUUGGGAAAAAUGGCAACUUACCUAGUGAUUACUUGGUUUUGGUUUGCGACUAUUUACGCAACCAACCAUGAGUUUGACUUUAACGUCAUGGGUUGAAGCCUCCUACAGGAAGGGAGAAAGCUCCACAGCUAGCUCCAAAAGAGAAUUAUCACAUUGAUAGCUCCAGAGAUUCCCAAGGGGACUGAAUCAAAGACAAGUUCCUCACUUUUUCUUCUUUUGAGGCCAAAUAUGAACCAAGGAUCACACAACCUCAUUCAACUUCAUAAGUUUGAUUUCAUGCAGUUGAACACUGGGUGAAGGCCAUGACAAGAAUUGAUUCAAAAAUUCUAUCACUCUUUUAAGUAAUGGAAGAUUAUUAUCUCUGAUUGGCAUCACAACAGCACAUGCUCCUAGAUCUUUCUAGACACUCCAUGCAAUGAAAGCACAAUGGAUCUUGUAACGAUAGAAACUAAGCCAUGCUACAGUACUAGAUGAUGAGGUAAAACUAGUAGACACGGGUGGCAGCCUAUAUGGGAGGGACACAAGUCUAAUUGAUUUGCAUUUCAGCAUUAUAGAUAGGUAUGUUUUGGAAGAUUUGUUCUGGAAAUACCGCACCAAGUAGGAUUCUUUUUCUCUUUAGUGGGUCCACUUGCAUGCCAAUUAACGAGUUGAAAAGUAUGAGCACCUACCUCGUGCUCGUGGAACCGAAGGUCAGUGAAGUGGGGCUCCUUUUGGCCUCGUGUAAACUUGAUUCAGAAGUGAAGUUAAUAGUCUUCCAUUCAGAUGGAUACAUGGGAAUUUUUCUCUUUUAUUUAUUUAUUUAUUUUUUUUUUGUGUGUGUAUGUCAAAGGAUAAUGAAUGAAGCGCGUUAGCUUGUUUUCUGACUGGAACCGCAGAUGUCCAAAUUGGAGUUCCUUCAUUUCUUACUUAGGAUUGUUACAUGUAUAAACAAGGUAUAAGAAAUAUGCCAACGUGUCUUGAGGAGUUAUUGAUUAGAAAUAACAAGUCACCCGACUGUAGAGUUCCAAGAUUUGAAUCUUCAGACCCUAUAGCAGCCUCUGGGGUACGUGGCAUCCUAUAGCAUAUUAAUGAAGGCUUUUUCGAUUUAGACUUCACAAUACCAAUUAAUAUGUAUGCACAAAAUGGAGAUGACCCCAAAAAAAACAGAAUCGCCAUAGUUUAUGAGGUUAAGGUGAUUCUCCACUUAAUAUCUACAUUAGCUAAUUAUGUAAAUCAAAUGAACUUCUAUUUUUCCUUUUUUUUUUUGGUUUAUGUCAAAUAGUAGCCCAUAAUUAACCCAACCAUUAGCCUGUUUGAAUUGAUUUCACAUGCACAAUGUUGUAGUAGUUCAUAUUUUGAAUUUUAUUUUUACAAAGGUAGUUAAGGAAAAUGAAGUAUAAUAAUUAUAAAAGCAGACUAUAUACACUACAAUAAUUGUUAGAAUGGUAUCUCAAAUUCUAAUUUAAAAUAUUAUUUUUUGUAAAAGAAAUAUUAUAUAGAAUAUUUCCUAAUUUUAUAAAUGAUUAUAAUUAGAUCUUUAUAAAAUAAGGAAAGUUGGUAAGAAUAUCUUUAUAAAUAUUUUAGGUCAUGAGAGAAAGAAAUGGGAUAAAAAUGUGAUGAAGAGGUGAAAUAAGAGAGUUGAUUAGGAUAUAGAUGUGAAGAAGAAAGGGAUUCAAUAUAUAUAUAUCUUUCAAUUACCACAUUAAAACCCUGUGAACCUUUUAUAUGGUUUACUUUAUUUUUAUAUUCCUCCUUUAAUAUAUUUACAUUAAUGCUUCCAUUGGCACAACAAUAACGAAUUACAAAUACAAGCAACAAGUCCCAUGUUUUAUUACCAAAAGCAGGUAAAAUCCACCUAAUAUAUUACAAUAUAUUCAUCCAAUAUUUUAGACCAAUUCUUCACCAUAAAUAUCAUAAUGUGGCUUUUGUUCUUUCUUAAAUUUAAAUUGAAUUGUCUUAUAUCAAUUUGUUUGUGAUUUUUUCAUUAACUUCACUUUCAUUUGGUUAUCUUUGGUUUUUGAAAAGUAUUAAGGAAUUAAUUAACAAAAUAAUGUUAAGAAAAAUAAUUUUCUCUCUUUUGAUUUUGAUUUUGUAGUAGAAAAAUAUAAUUAAAAUUAUUUAAAAAGUAUGUAAUUUUAAAUUAUUUAAUAUUUAGAUAAAAAAAAUAAGUCUAAUGAGUUUAAAAUAACAUAUAAAAAUAAUUUAUUUAUUUUAAAUUUAUUUUUUAUUUUCCAUUAUGUUCUCUUUCUCUUUUACUUUUUCAUAUUUUUUCUUACGAAGAAUCAAACACAACCUCAUAUUAUAUGUCAAGUGUUUGUCUAUAUUUGAGCAAUGUUAGAUACGGCCAUGGAUUCAUCAAACUAAACUGAUUUUAAUAGAUACUUCACAAAUUGAUUUAUACACUAAAUCAUUGGAUAGCAAUGAUGCAUUGGAAUUAAACGUAGGAUGAAGCUCGAAGAACACUGUUUGUGUAACAACAUAUUUAUGAAAUUAUGCAAAGGAUGAGCUUCGGGGUAGUAGUACAAGGUCAUUAAUGGAGAGCCGUGUUAAACCUUGAUUGUGAUUGGAUUCCGUUAUCAGCAACAGCAACCUUGUUUGUAACCUUGAAAGUCAUUCUGUCCACAUCGAAACUCCAAUUUGACGUUUGUAAUUACCAUUCCUGGAGUGUUCCUUGAUUGAAAUUUAAAUAAUAAUUGCGGCCCACAAGGAAUAUUUUCGAUUCUGUGGGAAUUUGACAAGGUUUGUUAGAGAAGACUGGUGACAUGUUGACUUCAAUGGUUCAAAUAGGAGACGUAUGUGGAUUUGGGGGGUUUAAUUGAAACUGAGUCCCUAUGGCUUUUUAAUAUUUGCAUUGAGCAGUCUCCAUGUGACUUCCUAAUUCCCACCAACCCUCCUGUCCAUGCUGUGAAACUAAAUUGUAAUUUAUCAGCCUUUGUCAAUGGUUUCUAAAUUAAAGAUAUAGACCAUGCAUGUACUUUAAUAAAAGCAAAUCUAAAGUGUAGAUAGCAGCAAUGGUGACACCCAAUAUUCUCCAUAAAAUAGAAUUAGAAUAAGCAGUGUUACAUUGUUCAUGAUCACCUACAAGCAUACAAGAACUUCCAUGAAUAACUCAUAGCAAUUGCCAACAGGGCGUCGUAGAGACUCAUACAUAGAACACUAUCCACCCAGAGGAAAGGACAAGACCAGUGCGCUGCAGCUCUUAUUUUUCACAUGUAUACCACCACUCGUAAUAACCAAAUUCACUCAGUUGGGAUAGGUGGGAGAUGGUGGUUUGUGGGGUGGCUUGUGGGGAGGAGUUGGAGGAGGCUUUAUUUUCUGAGGCGGCUUGUAUGAGUGUGCAGGAGGAUGCCCGGGAGUGUGACCAUAAUGUGGUGGCUUCUCUCCCGUAGGUGGUUUGCCAAAUGGGCUUGGUGGCUUCUCUCCCUUAGGAGGUUUACCAAUUGGGGUUGGUGGCUUGUGUUCUGGGAGUGGUUUCUCUCCCUUGGUAGGUUUGCCAAUUGGGGUUGGCGGCUUAUGUUCUGGGAGUGGCUUCUCUCCCUUGGGAGGUUUGCUAAUUGGGGUUGGCGGCUUAUGUUCUGGGGGCGGCUUCUCUCCCUUGGGAGGUUUGCCAAUUGGAGUUGGCGGCUUAUGUUCUGGGAGUGGCUUUUCUCCCUUGGGAGGCUUGCCAAUUGGGGUUGGCGGCUUAUGUUCUGGGGGUGGCUUCUCUCCUUUAGGAGGUUUGCCAAUUGGAGUCGGCGGCUUAUGUUCUGGAAGUGGCUUUUUUCCCUUGGGAGGUUUGCCAAUUGGGGUUGGCGGCUUAUGUUCUGGGGGUGGCUUCUCUCCCUUGGGAGGUUUGCCAAUUGGAGUCGGCGGCUUAUGUUCUGGGAGUGGCUUCUCUCCCUUGGGAGGUUUUGUUGGUGGCUUGUGUUCUGGAGAUGGCUUCUCCCCUGGAGGCUUGUGCUCCGGAGGUGGCUUCUGAAAUGGCGGGGGCUUGGGGUAAUGAGCAAGAGAUGGAGUACUGGUGAGAACCACCAUUCCAAGCAACAAUACUAGCAAGCAUGUGGGAGACAUCUUUGAGUAGUUGUAGCUAAGAUGGCGCAACACUGUAGGCAUUGGGUGGCCUUUUAUAAAGGGCUGGACCCAACAGCCAUAUGACACGUGUCAUGAUGACAAAUGAAGUUGAGGGGAUCCAGAUGGGUCCUACUGAGUCGAAAACUUGCACUAAUUGAUCUGGUGAGAUGACUAUUUCUGUCCUUUUGCCCUUCUCGGCCACCCUGUGCUGUUUUCCUUUUGCACGAUUUUCGUUGCCAAACAAGCAAAUAAUAUUUCGCCAAGAAAGAGGAGAGUGAAUGUGGAAUGCAUCAAGUCCCAUCAAGGAUGGCAGAGAAGAAAUAGAAGAUUGCCCAACUGUGAUAAACAUAGCAUACACGUAGCACCAGGAACUUCAUUUACUUCCAUCUAAUGGAACAUAACAAUCUUCUAAAGUUUUUGCAUGAUUUUGUUAUAUGUCUCUUAGCCUAAAGUUGGAAAUGCGCAACAAAUUUUGUCACUUCUCUAUUUCCCACUGAUGAUGUUAAUUAGCCUUCAUAGAUAUCAUCCUUUCUACAAAGUGCUUCAUUUGUGUGUUAUUGUAAAGUGUAAGAAAAGUAAUUGAACAUGUUCUUUUUCCUUUCAUAGAUGACUUUUGAUGUGCAUUUUAAAAGCAGCGCUGUGAGUCGGUGACCUUGAUUCACACGGAAACUAAGGCUCCUAUAGGACCCACUUUUAGCUGGUUAGGGGUGAAGAAAAUAUCAACUUUUCAGAGUGAUUUAAGUCAAGGCCAAGCCUCACUGUGUCAUUACUCGUGUGAAUUUUAUAUGCACAUACAUACAUAAAUAAAGUAUGAGACCCAAAUAACACCUUCCCUUUACAAACUUAACCCCAGCCGCUCUCUUUCAAUUCUUUUCACACAAGGGUAUUGACUCUAUAAAGGUCAAGAAAAUCAUAAUUUCCUAGGGUUUACAAGGUAAUUGGCUUAAUGCUAAUGUGAAAACAUAAAAGAUAAUAGUAUAUUGUAAGCUAACGAAUAUUCUAUAGUUAUAAUUAUUUGUGAUGUGCAUAAAUAAAUCUUCAUAUAUAUAAUGGAACAAUGAAUAAAGAACCAAUGAAAAAAUACUAUAUAUCAUUGCUUGGCAUUUAAACCGUAUAUGCUGCUCUUUCUAGCUACUCCAUCCACUGAAAGACAACAAGGUAAUCCAUGUUAUAAUGAUAGAAGAUACUGUCUCUAGGCUUUUUGUGAUGAAAAAUAUAAGAUAUGGGUAGGGUUGACCCUUGUAUGUUUGUCCUAUAAACACUUCAAAGUAACAUAUUUUUCUUCUUUAGCAACUCAUAAUGAUGGGGUUCAUUUGCAUGUCACUGAGUUGAAAAGUUGGACAAUUGCCCAUGUCGCCUUCCUCCUAGAUUCCGUAGUUCACGGGAAGGUAACUCAAGUUUGACAUAUUUUGAAUUCUUUUCACUCGGACGUCUUCAUAACCUGACAAAACAAAAAUGAAAAACAGAGGAUUGGUAUAUUAUUCAUGGUAAGCCUCAAAUUAUAGUAGUAUGAGAAAGGAGAAAAAGAUUUUGGGAACUCCAAUCUGGAUAAUUCUCGUUUCUUCUCUUGAAUAAAAAUUUCACUUACCUAACUUCGUUUGGAGAAAUGGCAUAUUUUAAUUUUGUACGUCAUUGCUAAUAAAUGGAGCAAUUUAGCAUGUUUUGUGACUGAAACUGCAAAUGUCCAAUUGGCAUUUCUUCAUUUCCCACUUAGGAUCUGAUCUUGUAGACCAUAUAACGAUAUGUAUCUGUGCAAGCAUUGAAAACUAAUGUGAACUAUGAGGAGUUACAAGCCACUGGACUGUAGAGCGAGUGCCAAGAUUUAAAUCUUCAGGCUCUAUCUGGGUAAGGGGAGGAUAGCGACCUAACCUUUUACCAAAGGCUUAGAAUUUAGACUUUUGGAAAAAAAUUUCUCAUGUUUUGGCUGGAUUUCUUGUGCUUGGCGCAAAAAGGAGAUGGCCUCAAGAAAUAGCAGACUCACUUUUGUUUUCAGCCCUUAAUAAUUCUCCACUGCUUUCCAUAACUACAUGGGUUAUACAUGCAGUCUGCUGCAAUAUUCCAGUUAUAUUUAUUAUUUCAAAGAGGGUGAAUGACUUCACAUGCAAUAUGUUGCAGUAACAACCCAAAUUUUGGCACACCAUCUUAAGAAUAGAAAAGUAUAAUAAAAGAAAUCAAUCAGAGAAUCACUUUGCAUGCAGUUCAUAGAGUUCGCCCAAAAUGGAGCCACAUGUACGGACAACCCCACAAUAGACAAUCUUCUCUAUACAGUAAUAAAAUACAGAAAUGGUUAAUGAAGCUCUGUAUUUCCUUAUCAUAUAUGACCGGUUGAAAACUCAGCAAGUCUUCCUCAAUCACAGACAGUUGGAGUUGCUUCAUCAAAAUCAUGCCUUCAUUACUGGCUUCAUUUUGGUUUCAAUGUCUGUUCUACCCUUAAAUUGGGUCUCUGCUUACUACCGGGAUAUCCUUUAGCGUCCUGCAAUUCUACUAGAUUAAAGAGAAUGACUUAAUUCUGCAUUCUGCCGUCCCUAGUCCAAGUGGUACUAGAAUUGAUGUUUCCUUUAGUGUCCUUUCUUCAUACUUUCAGGUUCUUCCCUUGUUUCAAUAAUGCUGUUUUCCUUCAUGUUUAACCUCUGUUGAACCACUUAAAACAACACAAUUUGCACACCAAUGUUUCUUUACAGAAAAGACUGUUUGCAAAAAUGCACAUGUUAUAAGGUUAAUGGAAGAAUUAAUUUGGGGAUAAGGGACUAGGAUUGGGCCAAUGAAGUUUGGUGUUAAAUUUUGAUUAUGAUUGCUUUUCAUUAUCAGGUACCUUAUAUUUGCUGAUGCUAUCUGGAACUAAAUUCAAAUCAGACAUUAUCCGAUUACUAACAGGACAUAUCAUGUCCCUCUGCAGAGUUUCUAAACUAACAUGUAUCGAAAUGUGGCCCCAAAAGGAAGGCUAGGAAGAUGGAGGAUUUUGUAGGAAUCGACCAGAAUCAGAUGGAAGAGAGAUAGUCCUGUUGACUUUAAUGGUUGUGAUAGGAACAUGCAUCAUUAUAUGAGAAGUUGCAUGAAUUUAUGUAUCCUGUUAUCGUUCCUUGACGAUUUCCCAAUGCAAUUUCACUGUCCACAAGACUAACCUCUCCAUGCAGUCAAAUGAAUUGUAAUUUCUCUAUUGGUACCAGUAGUACAUUUCAUACCAAACAUAUAGUAAAUAUAAAAUAUAAAUAGAUCAAGGAAAUCUGAAUUGUAGAUAGCACUGCAAGUAACACUCAAUAUUCUCUAUAUAUAAUAAAAUAAACAGUGUCACAAUACUCAUCACCCAGUGGCAAGGGAGAAAAACCUACAAUGAGUACUCAAAUCACCAUUCUCAAACAGAAACAUAGCAGUGACUGAUACAUAGAACCUAUAUGCUCACAGGGAAAGAAUAAGAUGACCAGUGCACAGCGGGCAGCAGCUCUUAUUUUACGUACAACUCAAAUCCCAAACUAACCAAAGUCGCUCAGUUGGGAUGGGUGGGAGAUGGUGGUUUGUGGGAUGGCUUCUGGGUAGGAGCUGGUGGCUUCUGUCCCUUUGGUGGUUUGCCUAAUGAGCUUGGUGGCUUGUGCUCCGGGAGUUGUUUCUCUCCCUCGAGUAGGUUUCGAGUCUUGUCAGAUGGCUUGUGUUCUGGUGGUGGCUUCUCUCCCUGGGGUGGUUUGCCGAAUGGGCUUGGUGGCUUGUGUUCGGGGAGUGGCUUCUCUCCCUGGAGAAGGUUACGAGUUUUGUCAUAUGGCUUUUGUUCUGGUGGUGGCUUCUCUCCCUGGGGUGGUUUGCCGAAUGGGCUUGGUGGCUUGUGUUCGGGGAGUGGCUUCUCUCCCUGGAGAAGGUUACGAGUUUUGUCAGAUGGCUUGUGUUCUGGUGGUGGCUUCUCUCCCUGGGGUGGUUUGCCGAAUGGGCUUGGUGGCUUGUGUUCGGGGAGUGGCUUCUCUCCCUGGAGAAGGUUACGAGUUUUGUCAGAUGGCUUUUGUUCUGGUGGCGGCUUCUCUCCCUGGGGUGGUUUGCCAAAUGGGCUUGGUGGCUUGUGUUCGGGAACUGGCUUCUCUCCCUUGGGAGGUUCAGUUGGUGGCUGCUGUUCCGUAGGUGGUUUCUUCACCGGCGGCUUGUGCUCCGGAAGCGGCUUCUCUACCUGGAGAAGCUUACGAGUUUUGUCCGAUGGCUUGUGUUGUGGUGGUGGCUUCUCUCCCUGGGGUGGUUUGCCAAAUGGAGUUGGUGGCUUGUGUUCGGGGAGUGGCUUCUCUCCAUUGGGAGGUUUAGUUGGUGAUUGGUGUUCCGUAGGUGGUUUCUGAAGUGGGGGAUGCUUGGGGUAGUCAGCAAGAGACGAGGUAGUGAGAACCACCAGUCCCAGCAGCAACACUAGCAAGCAUGUGGAAGACAUCUUUGAGUUCAGGCUGAGAUCUGUGCAAGGAUAACAGAAUUAGGUGGCCUUUUAUAGAGGCCUGGACCCAACACCCAUAUGACACGUGUCAUGCACUCAUGGUGACACAUAAUUCUAUGGGACCAUUUGGGUCCUACAGAAGUUGCAAAGUUGGACUACUGAGGUGUGAUCACAACUUUUGUCCUUAUUGCUUUCUCUGCGGCCAUUGCACGAUUUCCUUUAGCAUCAUUUUCUUGGCUAAAUAAGCGUAUUAUAUUUGUGGCAGACCGUCCACGUGUCAUAAACAGAUAUAUUAUAAUAAUGUAGUAUGCUUUUCUCCAAUGGAACAUGACACUCUUCUAAGUCUUGUUUUAAAUAUUGUGCAGGAUUACUUUAUACGUUGCAGUUCCAAGUCAAAAUUGGUGGGCAAACGUUGGCCUUUUUUCAUUUCACCUAAGAUUAAUGCUCACCUGGGAUAGGCACUACAUGACUUAUCUGCUCUUUUACUGUAAAGUUGCUUUGUGUAUGAGAUACACCUCCCCUGCACACCCUCAACAUUCGUUGCUCUGUUUUCCUUGUGUCCAGACGAGGAUAUUAAUUGGAGGCUGACAAAACGACUGCUAGCCCAGGAUUUACAAGGUCCUGGUUUGAGGCUUCGGUGAAAGUAUUUUUGAAAAGACACACAUAGAGAUAGUGCGUUUGGUGCAAUGCAGCACUGUGAGCCAUUCUGACGCGUUCUUAAUUUCAAAACUAAUGAAUGCUUCAAAAUUUUAAGAAGUGACAUUUCCAAAUAUUUGAGUUCGUUUAAUUGAACAUUGGAUAACUAGUGAUCAUAGAUUAUUAUCUGUGCUUGGCACUAUAAGAGGGUAUAUGCUUCUUUUUCUGGCCCCUCCUUCAAGGGAGGAGGGACAAUGUGAUCUGUAACGUUAGAAGCUAUUCCAUGUCAUCUUUGGGCUCAGUUCAAAACUAAAAGAUAAUGGGGGGGGGGGGGGGGGGCAUAUCAUUUUAUAUUUCUUCUAGAAGGUUUGUUCUGGAAAUAUUUCACAGGAGCAUAUCUUUUUCUUCUAUUACGUCAUCCGCAGCCUCCAAUAGGUCGGUUAACAAGCCACCGAGUUGAAAAGUUGGAAAAAUGGGAACACAGCCCGCCUCUUGUAUUCAGUAGUUAAAUAAAAGGUCACUAGAAGUGAGAUCCCUUUUGGCGUCUUGAUUUUCAAUCCAGCACCUCUGUGACCUGACAAACCAAAAAAACUAAAAAAUAAAAAACAGUACGUGGGUUGGUGUUAAGCAUCAAGACAUGUUAAUGAAAGAAGGUAGAGAAUAGGAUAUUGAAAUCCCAAUCCUGAUAACAUGAUUUUCUUUGCUAACAACCAUAUUAUAUUUUAUCAAGAAAGAGUAAUGCAUGUGGCGUCCAUCAAGACCCAUUAGAGUUCCGCUAAAGCUAUAGUUCUGUCAACGUUAUCAUUUACGUUUCCUCUAGAUAAUGGCAUUUUCCUCUAAAGCUCUUGCACCAUUAGGCUUCAAGUCAAAAUUUCACAUGUGAACUUUGGAAAUUUUCUCCAUUUGCCCCUAAGGAUACAGUUAGAAUUGACUUAAAAUCCUGAUUGAUAUGUACUAUUAACCAAAGAAUAUUGUAUAUAAUAAUUGAAAUAUUGUUGAUUCAUCGUGGAAAUACAUUUUGUAAGGAAAGUUGUUGAGAAUUUAGUAUGCUAUAUGGAGAAAAAAGUCAUGACUUAAGGUUGUGUAUGUAUAUUCUAUAUCAAAUAUUAGGUAGGAAUGUGGGAAAGAGCAGAGUGUAAUGAUAAGAAACAAAGAAAUAUAAGAUAUUCUUGAAAGUGGAAAAUAUAAAAUGGCUAACGAGUCAAAUUUAUGAUGCGUAAGGGGGAUCAUGUCACAUAAGAAAACCAUGGCAUACUAAAGACGUACGUGUGGUAUGGAGUAAUAAUUUUGUUAAAAUAAGUUUCUUGUUGGAGUACAUUAGGUGACUAUUCAUAACGUAUCAAAUUAAAGAGUCAAGUGCAUCAAUGAAGGCAUAUGUAGAAAAUUUGUUUGUGACAUGUACCAUAAAGAUAAGAUUGACUUGAUAGAAUUUAGUCUAAGUAGGAGUUGUUAAAGGUGUCUUAAAUUUCUAAUUGAUGUAUAUUUUUUUCUAAAAAAAUAUUAUAUAGAUAUUUUAAUAAAUGAUUAAUUCUUUGUAAAAAUACUUACAUAAUAAAAAACAUCAUUAAAAAUAUCUUUAUAAAUAUUUUAAGUUACAAGAAGGAAAAAAACCACUGUGAGAUAAUGAUGAACAUGCAACACUGUACCAAGUAAAUAAAAAUGUGAUAAAAAAAAAAGAGAAACACUCGAUAAAGGAAGGCUCGUAUAUAAAGAGUAAUAUUUUUAAUCAUAUGAUAGAAUGAUUUUCUCUCAUUCAUGAAUAUAGGCAAGAUUGGGGAACCAUUAUAAAAUUUUGUACACCUCGUGUAAAUUGAUGUUUGUCUUCAUAUUUUACACCAACAAAUGACAUUGAAGUUGUCAUUGAUAAAAGGGAAAAGGCAUGCCUCCACACCAUGUGCUUGAUUCGAAUGGUUCAAGUUUGAAGAAUUUUCUCCGGAAGAUCUAAAACAUUUUCGCCUUUAAAUUUCAUUUGAUUAUUAAUAUCCGAAAAAAUAGUUAAAUACUCUUUCUAUUUUUGAGUUGUUGAAUUUUUUGAAAGUUUUUAUAUUUGUUAUCAAGAAUUUCUAUUUUAUUAAGGGUGAAUAUUUAUAAAUAAGAUAUUAUAUAAUAUUUGGAUAAGAGAGAAUGGUGGAAUAUAAUAAAGUUUUAAUCCUUCCCAAUUUUGAACCUUUUUUUUUUUUUUUGAUAUAAUCGCCUUUCUCUUGCAAUCCUAUUAUCAGGUACCUUAUAUUUGCUGAUGCUAUCUGGAACUAAAUUCCAAUCAGGCAUUGUCCAAUUACUAAUAGGACAGAUCAUAUCUCUCUGUUUCUAAACUAACAUGUAUCGUAAUGUGACCUCAUAAGGAAGGCUAGGAAGAUGGAGGAUUUUGUGGGAAGCGACCAGAAUCAGAUGGAAGAGAGAUAGCCCUGUUGACCUAAUGGCUGUAAUAGGAGAAGCGUGUGGUUUUAUGGGACUUAACUGAUACUAAACCUGUAUGAUGCUUGGAGUGGUGUUUCUUUCAUUUUGUUAAGAAAAUAUGGCAGCAUACAUGCUUUCAACUGAGUGCAUCAGAGCAUCCAUAACAGAUGGUCUGCAACCCUAGGUGCAUGCCACUUUCUGACUGAUAAUGAAAUUGUCAGGUACCUGGCCUUGACUAAGCUCAACAGCAUCACAUAAAGAGAAGCUUUCAUACUUAGAUUACUGUUUAAAGUUUUUGCUUAUUUGAUUUCUUAAUGCCAUUAUGACAUUAUUGAUUCAAUUCUGCUUCCGAUUUUCGAAGUUCUGGGCAUCUACUGAUUGCAUCAUUAUAUGAGAAGUUGCAUGAGUUUAUGUAUCCUGUUAUUGUUCCUUUGCGAUUUCACUGCUCACGGGACUAACCUCUCCAUUCAGUCGAAAUGAAUUGUAAUUUCUUUACUGGUAGCAGUAGUACUUUUCAUAGCAAAGAUAAUAGAAAAUAUGAAAUAUAAAUAGAAGGAAAUCUGGAUUGUAGAUAGCACCAUAAGUAACACUCAAUAUUCACUACAUAAUAAAUAGACAGUGUUACAUAGGUAGAGAAACCUACAAUGAGUACUCAUCACCAUUCUCAAACAGAAACAUAGCAGCGACUUAUACAUAGAACCUAUAGGCUCGCAGGGAAAGAGUAACAUGAUAAGUUCACAGCGGGUAGCAGCUCUUAUUUUACGUAUUACUCAAAAUCUCAAACUAACCAAAGUCACUCAGUUGGGAUGGGUAGGAGAUGGUGGUUUGUGGGGUGGCUUCUGGGUAGGAGCUGGUGGCUUCUUUGUUGGAGUUGAAGGAGGCAUAUUCUUCUGAGGUGGCUUGUAUGACUCUUCGGCACUCUCUGCAGGAGGGUGCCCAGGGUUGUGACCAGAAGGAGGUGGCUUCUGUCCCUUUGGUGGUUUGCCUAAUGGGCUUGGUGGCUUGUGCUCCGGGAGUUGUUUCUCUCCCUCGAGUAGGUUUCGAGUUUUGUCAGAUGGCUUGUGUUCUGGUGGUGGCUUCUCUCCCUGGGGUGGUUUGCCGAAUGGGCUUGGUGGCUUGUGUUCGGGGAGUGGCUUCUCUCCCUGGAGAAGGUUACGAGUUUUGUCAGAUGGCUUUUGUUCUGGUGGCGGCUUCUCUCCCUGGGGUGGUUUGCCAAAUGGGCUUGGUGGCUUGUGUUCGGGAACUGGCUUCUCUCCCUUGGGAGGUUCAUUUGGUGGCUGGUGUUCCGUAGGUGGUUCCUUCACCGGCGGCUUGUGCUCCGGAAGCGGCUUCUCUACCUGGAGAAGCUUACGAGUUUUGUCAGAUGGCUUGUGUUGUGGUGGUGGCUUCUCUCCCGGGGGUGGUUUGCCAAAUGGACUUGGUGGCUUGUGUUCGGGGAGUGGCUUCUCUCCAUGGGGAGGUUUAGUUGGUGGUUGGUGUUGCGUAGGUGGUUUCUGAAGUGGGGGAUGCUUGGGGUAGUCAGCAAUAGACGAGGUAGUGAGAACCACCAGUCCCAACAGCAACACUAGCAAGGAUGUUGAAGACAUCUUUGAGUUCAGGCUGAGAUCUGUGCAAGGAUAAAAGAUUUAGGUGGCCUUUUAUAGAGGGCUGGACCCAACACCCAUAUGACACGUGUCAUGCACUCAUGGUGACACAUAAUUCUAUGGGACCAUUUGGGUCCUACAGAAGUUGCAAAGUUGGACUAUUGAGGUGUGAUCACAACUUUUGUCCUACUUGCUUUCUCUGCGGCCAUUGCACGAUUUCCUUUAGCAUCAUUUUCUUGUCUAAAUAAGCGUAUUAUAUUUGUGGCAGACCGUCCACGUGUCAUAAACAGAUAUAUUAUAAUAAUGUAGUAUGCUUUUCUUCAACGGAACUUGACACUCUUCUAAGUCUUGUUUUAAAUACUGUGCAGGAUUACGUCAUAAGUUGCUUGUUCCAAGUCAAAAUUGGUGGGCAAACGUUGGCCUUUUUUCAUUUUCCCUAAUAUUAAUGCUCACCUGGGAUAGGCACUACAUGAUUUAUCUGCUCUUUUACUGUGAAGUUGCUUUGUGCAUGAGUUACACCUCCCCUGCACACCCUCAACAUUUGUUGCUCUGUUUUUCUUGUGUCCAGACGAGGAUAUUAAUUGGAGGCUGACAAAACGACUGCUAGCCAAGGAUUUACAAGGUCCUGGUUUGAGGCUUUCACGAAAGUAUUUUUGAAAAGAUACACAUAGAGAUUGCGCGUUCGGUGCAAUGCAACAAUGUGAGCCAUUCUGAAGUCUUAAAUUUCAGAUUAAUGAAUGCUACAAAAUUCUAAGAAGGGCCGUUUCCAAAUAUUUGAGUUCAUUCAUCCGAACAUCGGGUAUAUGCUUCUUUCUCUAGCCCCUCCUUGAAGGGAGGAGGGACAAUGUGAUCUGUAUCGUUAGAAGCUAUUCCAUGUCGUCAUCUUUGGGCUCAGUUCAAUACUAAAAGAUAUGGGCGGGGCCCUUAUCAUUUUAUAUUUCUUCUAGAAGGUUUAUUCUGGAAAUCUUUCACAGAAACAUAUCUUUUUCUUCUCUACGUGAUCCGUGGUUUGAAAGUUGGAAAAAUGGGUCCGUUAACAAGCCACCGAGUUGAAAAGUUGGAAAAAUGGCAACACCGCCAACCUCUUGUAUUCGAUAGUUAAAUAAAAGGUCACUGGAAGUGAGAUCCCUUUUGGCCUCUUGAUUUUCAUUCCAGCAUCUCUAUGGCCUGAUAAAUUAAAAAACUAAAAAAAAAGACAGUACGUGGGUUGGUGUUAAGCAUCAAGAGUCAAGACAUGAUAAUGGAGAGAAAGGAUAUUCAAAUUCCAGUUCUGACAACAUGAUUUUCUUUGCUGAACUACCAUAUUAUAUUUGAUCAAGAAAGAGUAGUGCAUGUGGCCAGGAUCAAGACAUACAUUAAUUUCCACAUGAUGAAGACAGUUUCUGAGAGUUUCUUCUAAAGCUCUUGCGCGAGUAGGCUUCAAGUCAAAAUCUCCCAUGUAAACACUGGUUUUUCUUUCAUUGCCACUAAGGAUGCAGUUAAUAUUGACUUAAGAUCCUACGUGAUAUAUUUUUUUAAAAGAGCUAUAUUGUAGAUAAUAUUUGAAAUAAUGUUGAUUCGUUGUGGAAAUAUAUUUGUAAGGAAAGUUGUUGACAAUUUAAUAUAGUAUAAGAAGAAAAAAGUUAUCAACUAGCUAGAGAUGAGUAUGUAAAGUGAGGCUCACGAUUCAACGCGUAAAUAUAAGAUAUUUUAAGGCUCAAUAGUUAUGAUAUCUAUUUUAUUUUUUGUAUCUCAUAUAUUCAAAGAUAUAGUAAAAUGAUUUUACAUAUAUAUAUAUAUAUAUAUAUGAACAUAACUAUUUGUGCCAAUUGAUUUUUAUCUUUAUUUUGUAUAUUAGUAAUUAUAUUAAAGUUUUUACUAAUAUAAUAACUAAUAUAAAAGCUUUUUCUAAAAGAGUCAACAGAGCAAAACACUUAUUAUAAAAAAUAAUUUUGAUUGAAGGUGGAGUCAAUUAUUCUUUAUUUAACAUGUAAUGCAUACGGCGUGUACUUCAUAACUAAAGUAUAUAAGUGUAACAUCUCUUAUAUAUUCUCAUUCAAUCUCGAAAGUGGAAAUUUUAAAAAGAUUAAACGGUUCAAAUUUGUCGUGCAUAAAGGGGAUCAUGUCACAUAAGCAAACCAUGGCAUACCAAAGACAUAGGUAUGGACUAAGAAUUUUUUUCAAAUAAGUUUCUUAUUAGGGUACAUUAAUAGGUGACUUUUUAUGACAUAUCAAAGGAGUCAAGUGCACCAAUAAAAACAUAUAUAGAAAAUUCAUGCAUGACAUGUAUCACUAAGAGAAGAUUGACUUGAUAGAGUUUAAUCCAAAUAGGAGAUUGUUAAAAGGUGUCUCAAAUUCUUGAUUGAUAUAUAUUUUUUUUAUUAAAAAGGUUAUUAUAUAGAUAUUUCAAUAGACUAUUAAUUCUUUGUAAAAAUAGUUAUAUAAUGAGGAUGGUGAUUAAAAAUAUCUCUAUCAAUAUUUUGGAUUAUAAAAAGAAAAAAAAUGAGAUAAUGAUAAACAUAUAAAACUUGUACAAGUAGAUAAAGAUGUGAUGAAAGACACUUGAUGAAUGAAGGCUUUGUAUUUCAAGAUAUAAAUAUAUGGAGCAAAACUCUUAAUUAUAUGAUCAAAUGAUUCUCUCAUAUUCAUGAAUAUAAGCAGGAUUGGGGAACCAUGAUAGAAUCUUAUAUGCCUCUCCAUGUAGAGUGAUCGAUGUUUAUCUUCAUAUUUUACACCAGUGAAUGACAUUGAAACUCUUAUUGAUAAAAGGGAAAAGGCAUGGCCUCCACCCCAAGAAAAACAAGUAACCUCGGUUUAAAUCACUAGUCUACACCCCGAAGAGAGAACUAGCCAAACCUACUAAAAGAGAAACUUAACAAUUUAGAAAGAAACCGUCCAUGAUAAAGGGCCCCUAAAGGUCCAAUUCAGUGAGGUCGUGAACAAAAACACUUUCAUGUCAAAACAGAGAUAGGUACCACCAAAAUGUAAAGGGAAAGAUGUAAACCACGUCGAACUUUGGUAAUCAAUGGUAAAGAUAGCAUGAUAGCUAAAAGCACUAAAGCUGUGCUUGGUAUGCAAAAAUGAAAAGUGGAAAUCAGCGUCUUAUUCUUUUUCACCUUUAUUCACAUAUUAGGAUAACUAAUAUCUAAUGUUUUUUAUGUCUCAAAUUCUAUUCCAUGUUAUGGUAAACUUUCAUCUUGUUUAGAUCACUUUUGUCUGGUUUGGGCUCAAGACGAUAAGCCUAUAGAGACUUCAUAUUGGGUUGAAUCGAUGCCCUUGAUCUGAUCUGUUCGUUAGAAAAAUCUGAAUUAUUAUAAGCAUUUAGAUAAAAAAUAAAUAAAUGUGAAACACAAACUACUCCCUGCACAACCUUGACCCUAGUUACUCAGUUUCACUGCUCACAGGACUAACCUCUCCAUUCAGUCGAAAUGAAUUGUAACAAGAAGAUUUUUGACAGGAGGACGGUAGUUUAAAAUAAUAAUUUCUAAAGUACUUUUGUGAAAAAAAAUAAUUCCAAACGUGGAUUUUAUCAAGUAAAAAGAAAAAAAAAAGUUAUUUUCUUUUAAAAUCUGUUCUUCUAAAGAUGAUAUAUAUACCAAAAAAAAAAAUUGUUUUCUGAAGGUAAAAUUUUUAAAAUUCAUUUUUAAAAAAAUUUACACACUAAAAUUAUCUUUUCAAGAGAAGAUUUUUUUAAUUUUAAAUAAUUAUUAAUUUAUAAUUAAUUUGUUAUUAAUUAUUUAUUAAUUUUUUUAUUUGAAAAAUGCAUUUAUAAAAAACAAAUUUGUUAUUAAUUUAUUAAAUAAUUUUUACAAAAUAAAUAAUUUUUUUUUAUUUUAAUUUUAAAAUUAAUUUUAUUAUAUAAAUUUUAAAAUUAAAAAUAUUAAUAUUUAAUUUAAAAUUUAACUAUAAAAGGAAUAAAAUAUAGAAAAAUAAAUUAAUUUAUUAUUCAAUAAAUUAAUUUUCAAUAAAAUUUUCAGCAUUAAGAGAUAAAUUUUUAAGUAUUAAUCAAUUUAAAAAGAAAUAAUGAUCAUUUGUAUAUUAAGAUAUUUUAUUUAGUAAUUAUGAAUGAUAAACAACUAAAGUAAUUUGAAAAAAUAAUAAAAUAUUUAAAAAAUAAUAAUUUAAUACACGUAAAAUUAGAAAUGAUUAACUAUUUUUUAUUAAGAAAAAAUUGAGGAAAUAUUUUGUUAUUUAAAAUUUUUUAUUUGUUUUCAAUUUUUAAUGUUAUAGGUUUCAAGAAAAUUGAUCAAAUAAAAAUUAAGAAGUCAUUUUUUCAAAAACUAUAUAUCUAAAUAAAAGCCUUGAAAUUCAAAUACACAAUAUCAUAAAUAUAAACACCAAGUCAAUCCUUAAUUAUCAAAUGUUUUUAAUAUUAAAGAAUCAAAAUCACCUACUAUCAUGAUAAUAAGAAAACCAAUAAUAUUGUUCAUAUAAAUACUAAAAAGCUAACAAAUAUCCCAAACAAUUAAUAAAGUAUCAAACAUGAUAAAAAGUCAAUUAUUAUCAUGAAUGCAAAAAAUCAAUAAUUUUGUUUAUAUGAACCAUCAACAAAGAAAAAAAAAAUCAAUAUCUAAAUAUUAAACAUAAUUUAUAUUUUUAUAAAUAUUAUUGUUGAUAAAUAUCUUAACAAUUAUAAUUUUAGUAAAUAAAAUUAAUUAAUUUUAGUUUAAGAAUUAUUUUUUUAUACUUUCGUAUUCUUAUCAAAAAUCCCCAUUUUGCAUGUCUCCUUUGGCAUGACUUUCUUACCUAAACAAGCAUAUAUAUAUAUAUAUAUAUAUAAAAUAUUUGGUUAAGAAAGAGUACUAAAGUUUAUAUGGCACACAUCAAGAUAGAAACAGAAGUGGAAGAUAAUCCAAAUGUAUGAACAGAUAUAUUAUAUCCAUGUAGUGGUAGUGACUUCAUUAUUUACUUUUAUCUAAUGGAGCAUGACACACUUCUUCUGAAUAUUUUGCACGAUUAUGUUAUGUGUCAGCUUGUUCUAAGUCAAAACUAGUGAUAAAAAUCGGUUUUUUUUGCAUUUCCUUCAUGAAGAUGGCACCUGGAUGGGGCACUACAUGAGUGGCAUAGCACGAAGUGAUUUAUCUGCUCCCUUUACUAUAAAGUGCUUUGUGUAUAAGUUACACCUCCCCUGCACUGCCUCAACAUUUGUUGUUCUGUCUUCCGUCUGUCCAAACGAGGACAAACGUAUGUUGUAGGUUGACAAAACCACAGCUAGCCUAGGAUUUGCAAGGAUCUAGUUUGAUUCGUAUGCAAAAGGAUUGGUGAAAAGAUUCACAAAGAUAAUGCUUUUUGCAAUGCAAUCUUGUUCUAAUUCAACAGUGUGGACCAUUUUCAUGUAAUGCUUCAACUAGAUGUCAGUUUCAUGAAUUUUUGUUCAUCUAAUUGAUCACUGGAUAGGCCAUAACCCGAAGAAAUUCAAAAUUCCCUUCAGUACUGUAGCUAAGGAAAGAUCCCUAUCUACCACUGGGAUUUUAAGAGGGUAAAAAUGUAGGUGGGUGCCUAUAUCAUUUGCACUUCACUAUAGGCCUCUUUGGGAAGAUUUCUUCUGAAGACAUUUCAAAGAAACAUAUUUUUCUCUUCUCUCCGUAAACGGCAGCUGCAAGUCAGUCCAUUCACAGGCCACCGAGUUGAAAAGGCUGGAAAAUUGGCCAAAGCACCCGCCUCCUGGAUUCCAUGGGUAAGGAAAAGGUCACUGGAGGUGUGAUCCCUGUUGGCCUCUUGAUUUCCAUUCCGCCAUCUAUAUGACCUGAUAACCCAAAAACACAGAAGGAAAACGUCACCUGGGUUCAUAGUAAGCAUCAAGUCAUGAUAGAGACCAGACAACAUGACCAACAAAGAGUAGCGAAUGGGGCCAACAUCAAGCCCCAUUACGGUUAGAAGAUGGAAGAAGUAGAAGACAAUCCAAUUCUGAUAGAUUCGGGCAAAUGUAGUGCUGUUCAAACUUAAUCAUUUACUAUUUCUUCAUGAAUCACGGCAUUUUUCUUCUGAAAAUUUUCCAAGAUUAGGCCUCUGAAGAAAAAUUUCAUAUGUAAAUUGGUAUAUUAAGGAAAAGGCGUUACAAAGGUGAAAAAAAACCAAUCAAAUCUUAUAUAUGACAUCUCAAAAAUAUGAACUUGCUAUAAAUAUUUAAAAUCAAAAUCUUGCACAUCACCUCGUAGUACGAACUUGCUAUAAAACUUGAAAAUCAAGAAGAAAGGGGCAGUAUUGGACGAGACUACUUAGCACAUAUUAUUAUGAUGUUUUUUCAUUUUCUUAAUGUUGUUUUUAUGUCUUAAAUUCUAUUAUUCUAUGUUACGGUAAACAUUCAUCUUGUUUGUGUGGAAUAGGAUCACUUUUCUCUGGGUUGAGUCGAUGCCCUUAGUUAAUUUGUUCAUUUGAAUAAACUAAAUUAUUAUAAGUAUUUAGAUAAGAAAAACGUGAUACAUAAAUUACGCCUCUCGGCACAACUUCAACACUGGUUACUCUGUUUCAGUUUCCUCACACAAGAUUAUUGGUUCUAGGGUUUAUUUGGUUUUGGUUUGAUUCUAAUUGCUAAACUUUCUCAAGGAAGAUGUUAUAUAGGGAGUGAGAAACCUUCACUCUUGGCUACCUCCAAGAGAAGAGCAAGUGGUCUGAAUCAAAGAUAUACUGCUCACUUUUUCUUCUUCUAAGGACAGCUAUGACCUUGCUUUAAGGUUCGAAUAGCCUAAUGCAACCUCCCAUUUCUCAAGUCAGCUGAUGAUGUAAGUCACCUUGGCUUUCCACAUUCAUACGGUGAGGACGUUUGUGGGUGUAAUUCUCUUAACAGUUUUCAUUUUAUAUGGAAAAAUUCAUAAUUAAGGGUAAUUACUGAUUCCAUUUGACAGUGACCAAGUUUAAAAUAUUAAUUCAUAUAUUAAAUGCACAUUAAAAAAUCAUGGAAUAAAUAUAUUUACUAAUAUAUAGUUCUUUUGCCAUGUUCUGUCACAGAAGCAUCGAACUUUCCCUAGAAAUUUUUGCAUGGUAUUCUACUUAUGAUUUUGAAAACUCUAGGCACCUGAGGCCACUAAUUGCAUGGUUGGAUGAGGAGCUGCAUGAGAUUAUGUAUCGUGUUGUUCCUUAACUACAAAUAUCAGUUUUAAGUAGCAUCUCCAUGUGACAUUUUCCUGAUGCAAUUUCGCUGUCCACCAACAAAUUUCACCAUGCAGCAAGAUGAAUUGUAAUUUCUUUAUUGUUAUCAACAGCUUUAAUUAAUCUUGAUAUAUAUAUAUAACUUAGUAGAAGUAUAUUAAUCUAGAUUGUAGUUGCACUAAGAUAAUAGGCAAUAUUAUAACAGUGCCACAAUGCUCAUCGCCAAAUAGAAAGGUAGAAAAACUACAAUGAGUAACUCACAACAUUCUCAAACAGGACAUAGCGGCGACUGAUACAUAGAACACUAUUGGCACUCAGGAAAUGAUAAGAUCAGUGCCCAGCAGGCAGCACGUCUUAUUUUACAUACUACUUAAAACUAACCAAAGUCAUUCAGUUGGGAUGGGUGGGAGAUGGUGGUUUGUGCGGUGGCUUUUGGGUAGUUGGUGGCUUCUUUCCUGGAACUGAUGGUUUUUUUGUUGGAGUUGAAGGAGGCUUAAUCGUCUGAGGUGGCUUGUAUGAGUCUUCAGCACUCUCUGCGGGAGGGUGCCCAGGGUUGUGACCAUAAUGGGGUGGCUUCUCUCCCUUAGUUGGUUUGCCAAGUGGGCUGGCUGGCUUGUGCUCCGGGAGCGGCUUCUCUCCCUUAGGUGGUUUGCCAAAUGGGCUUGCUGGCUUGUGCUCUGGGAGCGGCUUCUCUCCCUCAAGAAGUUUACGGGUUUUGUCAGAUGGCUUGUGUUCUGGUGGUGGCUUCUCUCCUUGGGGUGGUUUGCCAAAUGGACUUGGUGGCUUGUGUUCGGGGAGUGGCUCCUCUCCCUUGGGAGGUUUAGUUGGUGGCUGGUGUUCCAUAGGUGGUUUCUCAACCGGGGGCUUGUUCUCCGUUGGUGGUUUAUGAACUGGGGGAUGCUUGGGGUAGUCAGCAAGAGACGGGGUGGUGAGAACCACCAGUCCCAGCAGCAACACUAGCAAGUAUGUGGAAGAGUACAUCUUUGAGUUCAGGCUGAGAUUUGUGCGAGACUUGAAGAAUUAGGUGGCCUUUUAUAGCUGGCUGCACCCAACACUCACAUGACACGUAUCAUGGUGACACAUGUGCUAUGGGUCCAUUUGGGUCCUACAGAAGCUGAAAACUUUUGACUAUUGAGGUGUGGUCACAACUUUUGUCCCUAUUGCUUUCUCCGCAACCGUUUUACAUGUUUCCUUUGGCAUAAUUUUCUAAGCUAAACAAGCAUAUAUCAUAUUUGGUUAAGAAAGAGUAAAGUGUAUAUGGCACACAUCAAGGAAGAGAAACAGAAAAAGUGGGAGACAAUCAAUUGUGAUAAACAGAUAUAUUAUAUUCAUGUAGUACUAGUGACUUUAUCAUUUACUUUUAUCCAAUAGAUCAUCACUCUUUCUUCUAAAUAUUUUGGAGGAUAAUGGUACAUGUUGCUUGUUUCCAAGUCAAAAUUGGUGGCAAAAAUCGGCAUGAUACGAAAGGAUUGGUGAAAAGAUUCACAUAGAUGGUGCUUUGUGCAAUGCAGUCUUGCUCUAAUUCAACAGAGUGGACCAUGGUGAUGUAUUUUAAAUUUUAAAUUUUAAAUUAAUGCAUGCUUCAAAGUUUUAACUAGAUGUCACUUCCAUGGAUUUUUGUUCAUUUAAUUGAGCACAGGAUAGGCUAUCAAACUUGAAGUAAUAUAAAAAUCCCUUCAUUACUGUAACUAAUGAAAGAUCAUUAUCUGCGCUUGGUAUUUUGCCAAGGUAUUUGCUGCUCUUUCUAGCCCUGUCUUACAGUUAAGGACAAUGUGAUCUAGUUAACCUUAGAAGCUAUUCCAUGUCAGAUACAAGAGAUCAAGCACAUUAUCUUUGGGCUCAGUUCAAAACUAUAAUAUAUGGGUGGGGUGGAGGCCCAUAUCAUUUGCAUAUCACCACUAUUGGUUUAGUUUGGAAGGUUUCUUCUGGAAGAUUGCUGCUUUCUGGAAUCAUUUCAAAGAAAUAUAUCUUUUUGUUCUCUUGGUGACGAGCAGCGGCAAUCAAGUCUGUUGACAAACAACCGAGUUGAAAAGUUUGAAAAUUGGUCACAGCCCACGUCCAUGGUUAAGGAAAAGGUCACUGGAAGUGAUCCCUUCUGGGCCUCUUGAUUUCCAUUCUGACAUCUAUAUGACCUGAUAAAUAGAAAGAAAAAAAAACAGAAGAAAAGCGGCACCCGGGUUCAUAGUAAGCAUCAAGACAGGAUACUGAAAGAAGGGAGAAAGGAGAUUGCAAGUCCAAUCCUGAUAAAAUGAUCAACAAAGAGUAUCAAAAUGGGGCCAACAUAAAGACCCAUUGAGGUUAGCAGAUGGCAUGGCAUUUUUCUCCUUAAGUUUUCCAUGAUUAGACUUGAAGUCAAAAUUUCACAUGUAAAUUUGUAUUUCUACAUUUCCCACUGACGACACCCAACUUCAACUUGAGUUAGAAUAACAUUGUGUGAACUUAUCUGGCCCUCAAAAUUUACUGUGAAGUGCUUUCUGCGUGUGAAGAUUCAGAAAAGCACCAAGGGAACAUGUAUGGUCUGCCUUUUUCUGAUGUUAUGUUUGUCUCUAAUUCUGUUCCAUGUCAUGGUAAAUGUUCACAUUGCUUGUAUGGAACACACCAGGAUCACUUUUUCGGGUUUAUUUUGAGGCUUCAUAUUGGGUUCAUAUUGGGUUCAAUGCUUUUAAUGUGUUCAUUAGACAAAUCUGAAUUAUCAUAUGCAUUUAGAUAAGAACAAUAAUGUGAAACCCUAGUUACACCUCCCCUGCAUAACCCCAACCCUGCUUACUCUAUUUCAGUUUACUCACACAAGUUUUACCGGUUCUUAUAAGUCAAGAAAAGGCAACUGAUGUUGGAUUGACUCUCUUCCAUGUAUAAAAAGCAACUUUUAUAUAUACAUAAAAUAACUUCUUCCCCUCACCAAUGUGGGAUAUCAUGGAUUUAUUCUGGAAACACAUCAAAGGAACAUCUUUUCUCUUGGGUGACCCUAAGUGGUGAGUCAGACCAUUUGCAUGCCAUUGAGUUGCACAGUUGGAUAAAUGCACCUACCUCCUGGGCUCCAGAGUUAAAAGGGUGGAUCCCUGGAUCGCAACCCUCUUGGCAUCUUGGUUUCCAUUCCAACAUCCACAUGACUUGACAAAACAAAAAACAGAAUAAAAUCAUCACUAUUUUCAUGCUAAGCACCAAUACAUGAUGGAAAUCAUUGCUUAAAGAUUUGGGGUCAUUUAGGUUUUGACUGCCUCCUAACACCUCACCUAAUCACAAGUUUUUAUGCUUACAAAUCAAAUAUCGUUCUUCAUUAUAUUAAAAUCAUUUUAAGAUUUCAGAUCCAUCUGCUAAUUAUGAUUAUGAUAACAUUAAUUCACCUGUGCUUCUCAUUUUCGACACACAAGGCAUCUAGGUUUGCAGGAUUUCCUUAUUAGAUGAGAUAAAUGAGUACGCAUGGUUAUGUAUGCAGCAUUCAUUAACCAUGGUAUGUGACAUUUAGAAUUAAGAUAGCAAGCAAACUUUCCCUGCAGCUUGAGUAAAUUGUGAUUUCUUAGCCUCUAUGAGUGGUUCCCAAAUCAAAUUAACAUAGUGAAAUAUACGUAGUCCAGUGAAAGGAAAUGUAAAUUAUAAACUAACAGCACUACACUACUGGUAACACUCGAUACUCUCUAUAUAAUGCAAUGAAAUAUACGUUAUACGUUGCUUGUUCCAAGUCAAAAUUUGUGGCCAAACGUUGGCCUUUUUUCAUUUUCCCUAAGAUUAAUGCUCACCUGGGAUAGGCACUACAUGAUUUAUCUGCUCUUUUACUGUAAAGUUGCUUUGUGUAUGAGUUACACCUCCCCUGCACACCCUCAACAUUUGUUGCUCUGUUUUCCUUGUGUCCAGACGAGGAUAUUAAGUGGGGGCUGACAAAACGACUGCUAGCCAAGGAUUUACAAGGUCCUGGUUUGACGCUUCCGCGAAAGUAUUUUUGAAAAUAUACACAUAGAGAUUGCGCGUUCGGUGCAAUGCAACAAUGUGAGCCAUUCUGAAGUUUUUAAUUUCAGAUUAAUGAAUGCUACAAAAUUCUAAGAAGGGCCGUUUCCAAAUAUUUGAGUUCAUUUAUCCGAACAUCGGAUAAGUAAUGAUCAUAGAUUAUUAUUAUUAUCUGACGUUCUUAUAAUGGUUGGCAUUAUAAGAGGGUAUAUGCUUCUUUCUCUAGCCCCUCCUUCAAGGGAGGGACAAUGUGAUCUGUAUCGUUAGAAGCUAUUCCAUGUCGUCAUCUUUUGGCUUAAGUCAAUACUAAAAUAUAUGGGCGGGGCCCCUGUCAUUUUAUAUUUCUUCUAGAAGGUUUGUUCUGGAAAUCUUUCACCGAAACAUAUCUUUUUCUUCUCUACGUGAUCCGUGGUUGGAAAGUUAGAAAAAUGGGUCCGUUCACAAGCCACCGAGUUGAAAAGUUGGAAAAAUGGCAACACCGCCAACCUCUUGUAUUCGAUAGUUAAAUAAAAGGUCACUGGAAGUGAGAUCCCUUUUGGCCUCUUGAUUUUCAUCCCAGCAUCUCUAUGUCCUGAUAAACUAAAAAACUAAAAAAAAAACAGUACGUGGGUUGGUGUUAAGCAUCAAGAGUCAAGACAUGAUAAUGGAGAGAAAGGAUAUUCAAAUUCCAGUUCUGACAACAUGAUUUUCUUUCCUGAACAACCAUGUUAUAUUUGAUCAAGAAAGAGUAGUGCAUGUGGCCAGGAUCAAGACAUACAUUAAUUUCCACAUGAUGAAGACAGUUUCUGAGAGUUUCUUCUAAAGCUCUUGCGCUAGUAGGCUUCAAGUCAAAAUUUCCCAUGUAAACACUGGAUUUUCUUUAAUUGCCACUAAGGAUACAGUUAAAAUUGACUUAAAAUCCUACGUGAUAUAUAUCUUUAACAAAAGUAUAUUGUAUAUAAUAUUUGAAAUAAUGUUGAUUCGUUGUGGAAAUAUGUUUGUAAGGAAAGUUGUUGACAAUUUAAUAUAGUAUAAGAAGAAAAAAGUUAUCAACUAGAGAUGAGUAUGUAAAGUGAGGCUCACGAUUCAACGCGUAAAUAUAAGAUAUUUUAAGGCUCAAUAGUUAUGAUAUCUAUUUUAUUUUUUGUAUCCCAUAUAUUCAAAGAUACAGUAAAAUGAUUUUAUAUAUAUGAACAUAGCCGAUAGUAUCAUGUUAAAACCUUAUAUGACUCUUUGUGCCAAUUGAUUUUUAUCUUUAUUUUGUGUAUUAGUAAUUAGUAUUAAAGUUUUUACUAACAUAAUAAUUGAUAUAAAAGCUUUUUCCAAAAGAGUCAAACAGAGCAAAACACUUAUUAUAAAAAGAAUUUUGAUUGAAGGUGGAGUCAAUUAUUCUUUAUUCAACAUGUGAUGCAUACAGCGGGUACUUCAUAACUAAAGUAUAUAAGUGCAACAUCUCUUAUACAUUCUCAUUCAAUCUCGAAAGUGGAAAAUUUUAAAAGAUUAAAUGGUUCAAAUUUUCCGUGCAUAAAGGGGAUCAUGUCACAUAACCAAACCAUGGCAUACCAAAGCCAUGAUAUGGACUAAGAAUUUUGUUAAAAUAAGUUUCUUAUUAGGGCACAUUAUGUGACUAUUUAUGACAUAUCAAAGGAGUCAAGUGCAUCAAUAAAGACAUAGAAAAUUCAUGCAUCACAUGUACCACUAAGAGAAAAUUGACUUGAUAGAGUUUAGUCCAAAUAGGAGAUUGUUAAAAGGUGCAUCAAAUUCUUGAUUGAUAUAUAUUUUUUUUAUUAGAAAGGUUAUUAUAUAGAUAUUUCAAUAGACUAUUAAUCCUUUGUAAAAAUAGUUAUAUAAUGAGGAUGGUGAUUAAAAAUAUCUCUAUCAAUAUUUUGGAUUAUAAAAAGAAAAAAAAUAUGAGAAAAUGAUAAACAUAUAAAACUUGUACAAGUAGAUAGAGAUGUGAUGAAAGACACUUGAUGAAUGGAGGCCUUGUAUUUCAAGAUGUAAAUAUAUGGAGCAAAACUCUUAAUUAUAUGAUCAAAUGAUUCUCUCAUAUUCAUGAACAUAAGCAGGAUUGGGGAACCAUGAUAGAAUCUUAUAUGCCUCUCCAUGUAGAUUGAUCGAUGUUUAUCUUCAUAUUUUACACCAAUGAAUGACAUUGAAACUCUGAUUGAUAAAAGGGAAAAAGCAUGGCCUCCACCACAAGAAAAACAAGUAACCUCGGUCUAAAUCACUAGUCUACACCCCGAAGAGAGAACUAGCCAAACCUACUAAAAGAGAAACUUACCAAUUUAGAAAGAAAUCUUCCAUGAUAAAGGGCCCCUAAAAGUCCAAUUCAGUCAGGUUGUGAACAAAAACACCUUCAUGUCAAAACAGGAAUAGGUACCACCAAAAUGUAAAGGGAAAGAUGUAAACCAAGUCGAACUUUGGUAAACAAUGGUAAAGAUAGCAUGAUAGCUAAAAGCACUAAAGCUGUGCUUGGUAUGCAAAAAUGAAAAGUGGAAAUCAGCGUCUUAUUCUUUUUCUCCUUUAUUCACAUAUUAGGAUAACUAAUAUCUAAUGUUUUUUUUAUGUCUCAAAUUCUAUUCCAUGUUAUGGUAAACUUUCAUCUUGUUUAAGUGGAAGAGUAGGAUCACUUUUGUCUGGUUUGGGCUCAAGACGAUAAGCCUAUAGAGACUUCAUAUUGGGUUGAAUUGAUGCCCUUGAUCCGAUCAGUUCGUUAGAAAAAUCUGAAUUAUUAUAAGCAUUUAGAUAAAAUAAAUAAAUAAAUGUGAAACAGAGACUAUUCUCUGCACAACCUUGACCCUAGUUACUCAGUUUCACUGCUCACGGGACUAACCUCUCCAUUCAGUCGAAAUGAAUUGUAAUUUCUUUACUGGUAGCAGUAGUACUUUUCAUAGCAAAGAUAAUAGUAAAUAUGAAAUAUAAAUAUAUAGAAGGAAAUCUGGAUUGUAGAUAGCACCAUAAGUAACACUCAAUAUUUACUACAUAAUAAAAGAGAUAGUGUUACAAAGGUAGAGAAACCUACAAUGAGUACUCAUCACCAUUCUCAAACAGAAACAUAGCAGUGACUUAUACAUAGAACCUAUAGGCUCGCAGGGAAAGAGUAACAUGAUAAGUGCACAGCGGGUAGCAGCUCUUAUUUUACGUAUUACUCAAAAUCUCAAACUAACCAAAGUCACUCAGUUGGGAUGGGUAGGAGAUGGUGGUUUGUGGGGUGGCUUCUGGGUAGGAGCUGGUGGCUUCUUUGUUGGAGUUGAAGGAGGCGUAAUCUUCUGAGGUGGCUUGUAUGAGUCUUUGGCACUCUCUGCAGGAGGGUGCCCAGGGUUGUGACCGGAAGGAGGUGGCUUCUGUCCCUUUGGUGGUUUGCCUAAUGGGCUUGGUGGCUUGUGCUCCGGGAGUUGUUUCUCUCCCUCGAGUAGGUUUCGAGUUUUGUCAGAUGGCUUGUGUUCUGGUGGUGGCUUCUCUCCCUGGGGUGGUUUGCCGAAUGGGCUUGGUGGCUUGUGUUCGGGGAGUGGCUUCUCUCCCUUGGCAGGUUCAGUUGGUGGCUGGUGCUCCGUAGGUGGUUUCUUCACCGCCGGCUUCUCUCCCUGGAGAAGGUUACGAGUUUUGUCAGAUGGCUUCUGUUCUGGUGGCGGCUUCUCUCCCUGGGGUGGUUUGCCAAAUGGGCUUGGUGGCUUGUGUUCGGGAACUGGCUUCUCUCCCUUGGCAGGUUCAGUUAGUGGCUGGUGUUCCGUAGGUGGUUUCUUCACCGGCGGCUUGUGCUCCGGAAGCGGCUUCUCUACCUGGAGAAGCUUACGAGUUUUGUCAGAUGGCUUGUGUUGUGGUGGUGGCUUCUCUCCCUGGGGUGGUUUGCCAAAUGGACUUGGUGGCUUGUGUUCGGGGAGUGGCUUCUCUCCAUUGGGAGGUUUAGUUGGUGGUUGGUGUUCCGUAGGUGGUUUCUGAAGUGGGGGAUGCUUGGGGUAGUCAGCAAGAGACGAGGUAGUGAGAACCACCAGUCCCAGCAGCAAUACUAGCAAGGAUGUGGAAGACAUCUUUGAGUUCAGGCUGAGAUUUGUGCAAGGCUAGAAGAAUUAGGUGGCCUUUUAUAGCGGGCUGGACCCAACAACCAAAUGACACGUAUCAUGAUACACAUAUGUGUUAUAAGAUCCUUGUGGGUCCUACAGAAGUUGAAAACUUUGACAAUUGAGGUGUGAUUACAACUUUUGUCCCUAUUGCUUUCUCGUCAGCCGUUUUGCAAGAUUUUUGACAGGAGGACGGUAGUUUAAAAUAAUAAUUUCUAAAGUACUUUUGUGAAAAAAAAUAAUUCCAAACGUGGAUUUUAUCAAGUAAAAAAAACAAAAAAAAGUUAUUUUCUUUUAAAAUCUUUUCUUCAUGAUUCAUAUACCAAAAAAAGAAUUGUUUUCUGUAGGUAAAAUUUUUAAAAUUCAUUUUUAAAAAAAAAAAAUUACACACUAAAAUUAUCUCUUCAAGAAAAUAUUUUUUAAAUUUUAAAUAAUUAUUAAUUUAUAAUUAAUUUUUUAUUAAUUAUUUAUUAAAUUUAUAUGUGAAAAAUGCAUUUAUAAAAAACAAAUUUUUUAUUAAUUUAUUAAAUAAUUAUUUACAAAAUAAAUAAUUUUGCUUUAUUUUAAUUUUAAAAUUAAUUUUAUUAUAUAAAUUUUAAAAUUAAAAAUAUUAAUAUUUAAUUUAAAAUUUAACUAUAAAAGGAAUAAAAUAUAGAAAAAUAAAUUAAUUUAUUAUUCAAUAAAUUAAUUUUCAAUAAAAUUUUCAGCAUUAAGAGAUAAAUUUUUAAGUAUUAAUCAAUUUAAAAAAUAAUAAUAAUCAUUUGUAUACUAAGAUAUUUUAUUUAGUAAUUAUGAAUGAUAAACAACUAAAGUAAUUUGAAAAAAUAAUAAAAUAUUUAAAAAUAAUAAUUUAAUACACUUAAAAUUAGAAAUGAUUAACUAUUUUUUAUUAAGAAAAAAUUGAAGAAAUAUUUUGUUAUUUAAAAUUUUUUAUUUGUUUUCAAUUUUAAAUGUUAUAGGUUUCAAGAAAAUUGAUCAAAUAAAAAUUAAGAAGUCAUUUUUUCAAAAACUAUAUAUCUAAAUAAAAGCCUUGAAAUUCAAAUACACAAUAUCAUAAAUAUAAACACCAAGUCAAUCCUUAAUUAUCAAAUGUUUUUAAUAUUAAAGAAUCAAAAUCACCUACUAUCAUGAUAAUAAGAAAACCAAUAAUAUUGUUCAUAUAAAUACUAAAAAGCUAACAAAUAUCCCAAACAAUUAAUAAAGUAUCAAACAUGAUAAAAAGUCAAUUAUUAUCAUGAAUGCAAAAAAUCAAUAAUUUUGUUUAUAUGAACCAUCAACAAAGAAAAAAAAAAUCAAUAUCUAAAUAUUAAACAUAAUUUAUAUUUUUAUAAAUAUUAUUGUUGAUAAAUAUCUUAAUAAUUAUAAUUUUUUAUAUAUUAAAUUUAGUAAAUAAAAUUAAUUAAUUUUAUAAUAUAAGAUAUAUAUAAUAAUUAAGAGACUAUUUGUCCCAAACAAUUUAUUUAUUUUUUUUUUAGGAAAUUGUCUCUUCAAGAGACGACUUCUCCCAACAUUUUUAAAAAAAAAAAAAAAAACAUCUAUUCAAAAGACGAUUUCUCCUCAUUUUUUAAAAAUGAAUUUUAGAAAUCAUAUUUUCAAAAAUGAAUUUUAGAAAUCAUAUUUUCAAAAGACGAUUUUUUUUUAUAUAAAUUAUUUUUUAAAAUGACGAUUUUAAAAGGAAAUAACGAUCUCUCUCCUACUUGGCAAAAACUAUGGUAAAUUUGGAAUUAUUUCUUCCACAACCAUAGUUUAAGAAUUAUUUUUUUAUACUUUCGUAGACUUAUCAAAAAUCCCUAUUUUGCAUGUCUCAUUUGGCAUGACUUUCUUACCUAAACAAGCAUAUAUAUAUAUAUAUAUAUAUAUAUCACUUUUGUCUGGGUUGAGUCAAUGCCCUUAACUAAUUUGUUCAUUUGAAUAGUCUAAAUUAUUAUAAGCUUUUAGUUAAGAAAAAUGUGAAACAUAAAUUACACCUCUCGGCACAACUUCGACACUGGUUACUCUGUUUCAGUUUAUUCACACAAGAUUAUUGGUUCUAGGGUUUAUUUGGUUUUGGUUUGAUUCUAAUUGCUAAACUUUCUCAAGGAAGAUGUUAUAUAGGGAGUGAGAAACCUUCACUCCUGGCUACCUCCAAGAGAAGAGCAAGUGGUCUGAAUCAAAGAUAUACUGCUCACUUUUUCUUCUUCUAAGGACAGCUAUGACCUUGCUUUAAAAUGUUCGAAUAGCCUAAUGCAACCUCCCAUUUCUCAAGUCAGCUGAUGAUGUAAGUCACCUUGGCUUUCCACAUUCAUACGGUGAGGACGUUUGUGGGUGUAAUUCUCUUAACAGUUUUCAUUUUAUAUGGAAAAAUUCAUAAUUAAGGGUAAUUACUGAUUCCAUUUGACAGUGACCAAGUUUAAAAUAUUAACUCAUGUAUUAAAUGCACAUUAAAAAAUCAUGGAAUAAAUAUAUUUACUAAUAUAUAGUUCUUUUGUCAUGUUCUGUCACAGAAGCAUCGAACUUUCCCUAGAAAUUUUUGCAUGGUAUUCUGCUUAUGAUUUUGAAAACUCUAGGCACCUAAGGCCACUGAUUGCAUGGUUGGAUGAGGAGCUGCAUGAGAUUAUGUAUCCUGUUGCUCCUUAACUACAAAUAUCAGUUUUAAGUAGCAUCUCCAUGUGACAUUUUCCUGAUGCAAUUUCGCUGUCCACCAACAAAUGUCUCCAUGCAGCUAGAUGAAUUGUAAUUUCUUUGUUGUUAUCAACAGCUUUAAUUAAUCUUGAUAUAUAUAUAACUUAGUAGAAGUAAUUAAUCUAGAUUGUAGUUGCACUAAGAUAAUAGGCAAUAUUAUAACAGUGCCACAAUGCUCAUCGCCAAAUAGAAAGGUAGAAAAACUACAAUGAGUAACUCACACAACAUUCUCAAACAGGACAUAGCGGCGACUGAUACAUAGAACACUAUUGGCACUCAGGAAAUGAUAAGAUCAGUGCCCAGCAGGCAGCACGUCUUAUUUUACAUACUACUUAAAACUAACCAAAGUCAUUCAGUUGGGAUGGGUGGGAGAUGGUGGUUUGUGCGGUGGCUUCUUUCCUGGAACUGGUGGUUUUUUUGUUGGAGUUGAAGGAGGCUUAAUCGUCUGAGGUGGCUUGUAUGAGUCUUCAGCACUCUCUGCAAGAGGGUGCCCAGGGUUGUGACCAUAAUGAGGUGGCUUCUCUCCCUUAGGUGGUUUGCCAAGUGGGCUGGCUGGCUUGUGCUCCGGGAGCGGCUUCUCUCCCUUAGGUGGUUUGCCAAAUGGGCUUGCUGGCUUGUGCUCUGGGAGCGGCUUCUCUCCCCCAAGAAGUUUGCGGGUUUUGUCAGAUGGCUUGUGUUCUGGUGGUGGCUUCUCUCCUUGGG